rnacentral:lncRNA from 1 species
ACCCUCACGGCGACCACCACGGAAUCCACCUCCACCUCCACCUCCACUGCCGCGAGAUUGAGCCUUGUUAACGGUAAUAUUCCUCCCAUCAAGAUCCUGACCGUUCAUUCCUUCAAUCGCGUCCCUCAUCGAUUGGUCGUCCUUGAAGGUAACGAAUCCAAAACCCCUCGAUCUUCCAGUUUCGCGAUCAUUAAUUAUCUAAAUAAGAAAAUUCCAAAAACCCAUCAGAUUCAAACAGAUCCAUAACAUACAUAGUAAAAUGAUCAAAAUGAAAACUGAAAAGCGAUUCGAUCCUCAUCUCCUGAUAACAAAAAGGAAGAUGGAACGUACCGAUACAGGGGAAAGUAAUAGUAACGGAAAUAGUAACUCAGUAACAGUAACAUAUUAACAGUUGUCAACAAAACCGAAUCGAGACGGAUCCCGAUCUCUGCGACUAACGGACCUUCGAUUCGAUGACUUCUCCAAACUCAGCAAAGGCUUGCUCGAGUGAUUGAUCUGUGGUGGCCCAUGCUAGACCACCGACAAAGCAUCUGUACUCAACAUCUGCAGACGCCAUUGAUAACUUUAGAUAGAGAAACUGAGGAAGAAGGAGAUAGAAUUGCAAUGGAAGUAAUUGAAGCAGAAAUACAGUGUUUAUAUAGGCGGAAAAAGCUAGUUGUGGUUAGGGUAAAAAGUACGCACAUAGAGCUUUUUAGCUUUUUCCAUUACCAUGGUUAAGGAUAAUGGUUAAGAAUAACUUUUUCAUUUUUAGGAAGAAUAUAAUAUGAGAAUAGGACUGAAUAUGGUCCUCUUCAUUUUGAUUUUAAAGAGAAUCAAAUUGAACCCAAAUUUUCAGGUAGUAAGUGGAAUCGUUGGGUUCAAAUUUAAUUGUGGAACCGUUUGGAUUCGAUUUGAUUCCAUUCAGUUCUGUUUGAUUUCAUUUGAUUCUCGAGUUCGUACUAUAAUUAAAUUUUUAAAUAUUUACAAAGUUCCAUUAAUUCAACUAAUGAUAUGUUUAAUCUUAACUUUUAUAAAAUAACGACUCCAAUUUUUCCCUUAGGGUUACGAUCCAACAAUUGUUUAUCAAGGGCAAAGAAUUUUUAAAAUUCCGGCAUGUUUGUUGACACAAUACAGUAAACAAGAUUUCAAAUUCUUUUUCUUACUACUAGUCUUUGCUCGUGCAAUGCACUGGUUGCUUCAAUAUAAAGCUAAUGUUAGCGUGUUUAAUGUGAAGGAAUAAUGAUAGAUAUGUUGAACCUUAUCUAUUUUUUCUUUUCUAAAAGUAAUUGCAAUAAAUCAAAUUAGAUACACUUGGAAUAACUGGUUAGAGUAAAGAAUUGUGCUAGAACAUUUAAUUUAUAUGCAUGUGGAUGCCUUCGAAAGCUGACGGAAAUAAGAAUAAAAUAAAUGAAAUAUAGAAUAUACUAAUCUAUUUUGUUUGUUUAUUUAUUUGUUUAUUUUUUUUGGGAAUUUUAAUGAAUGAUAAAUACUUUGUUUACACCAAAUAAAAAAUUCAAGCAUUCAUUUUUAAAUACAGAGAGAGACAUGUGAAGAAGAUGACAACAAAGCCCUUAUGGCCAAAUAAACAAGGCAAUUUGAUACCUAAAGUACAUCGGAUAUCAAAAGUAGCACUAAAUCAUUGUCCAAGACACUGUCCCAUAUGUUCCCCCGAGUUCCAUUUUCUUCAUUAAAACCCAGCAGCACAAGCUCAACAAAUGAGUGAGAACCCUUCCUCAAAUCGAUCUGCAUGAAGAAUGAUAUGGUUACAAGCUUUAUACGAGGAUAAACUUGCAUUAUUUCUUGAGAAAAUGACAAAAGUAAAAAAAAAAAUAACAAAUUACCUUAACCACAAUAUCAGAUUUCGCUUCAGCAAGAGAAUCCUUCAAGUUCUGAACUUAAGCCGAUCCCUACACAAAUGCAAAGAGUUUCUAUCAUCUUGGCAGAAAUCAGUAGAACAUCGUGAAGGAGCAGUUAUAAUUCCUUAUUUUAAGAGCUUCAUAUCGCAAAGUUUAUAAUGGUUCAUUUAUUUAUCAACAAUCAAGAAUGAGUUAUGUUAAAUAUGUACAACCCUAGUACCCAGGAAAUGAGGCAUGCCUUAGCAUAUUUCAAGAGCUACCCCUGCAUUCAACUGAGUGUACAAGAUUGUUGAUAGAAAUUUAGGCCUUUUCCUCUCAUAACCAUUUCAACCAAUGAAUAAAGUUAAAGUUCAAGAAUCAGAAAUGACAAAGUUGUAAGUUCCUUUUUUUUUUUAUUUUUUAGAAAAAAAAAGAAUAAGAAGAAUUGACUAUCAAAAAGAAAUUAAAAUUACCAGCUCCGAUGGCAAAGACAUUCUUCAAUCCUCCCAUAAAACUUCAUGCAUAAGAAGGUCAUUGUGGUCCCAAACAUUGAAAUGGGAUUUGCCUUAAGAACUUAGGAAGUGGUAUUCUCCAUUUUCAGGCUCCACAUAUUCGAGCAUUAGCACCAUAUUCCAUGUUAUAGAUCUCUACGGAAAUAUUUGGUCUGCUAAUUAAUAUAAUAUAGAUAAGGAAAUAAAGAAAGAAUUACAAACGAGGUGACAAUUUCUUUUAAAUAAGAUGCUUUGCUUUGUUCUAUUUGAUUCUCGUUCUAUGAUGUGGAAUUUGGGGAUGAAGGAAUAAAUGUGGUUUACUUGCUUCAUGAGCAAUCUGGACCCCCCCCCCCCCCCCCCCGUCCCCCCCCCCCCCCCCCCCCCCCCAAAAAAAAAAGCCACAUGCUUCUGCAAGUUUUAUCGUUGCAUUUCCCUAAGUGUGCUCAUAUCCAUUCCUAUUCAAUUUCUUUAAAAUAUCACCGGUAAUUUUACUUCCUACCACCAAAUUCAAAAAACUAAAAGACAGACAGAAUUUAACACAAGAUCACGCAUGCCAAGCUGUGAGAAAAUUGAAAUAAAGACUCCAAAAUAACAGUUAGGAAUGAAAUUAAUAACACAAAAUGAAGACAAGCAAUCAAGAAAACAUACAACACAAGGUUCAGAGACAUUAGAAAAAGAAUCGAGAUACAAUGCAACAAUGUCUCUAAGAAGCUAAUUCGAACAGCUUUGAUAGAAGCUACUUGCAAAUGAUUCUAGCUCAUCAAAUGUUUAAACCUUUCUUAGCAACUUUGUUAUAUGGAUUUUGGUCCAAGGGUCAUAUUUGUGUAAAAUCUACUAUUUUAUCCAUCGACGCAGACUUUCUGGUUACUCAAUAUUAGCAAAUUCUCCCACAAGAAUACCGUAUGUCACCACGCAUUUCAAUUCCUUCUUCCACCAUCUUUCUUACACAUGAAAAUGCUUCUUCCAUGUCUCUUCCUACUGCAUAUGCACAAAGAAGGCUGCAGCAGUGCAAAGUGGAUUUAUCGUGAGAUGAUCACUUAAUAAUUUAAAAUGGGAAUCGGAUCAACUUCUUAUGUGCAACUAAAAGCAAUAGGAAGAUACAAUUGGUUUUCUCCCCAUUACUACAUUUUAGGCCAAACCUUGCACCACAUUUCUUAUGAAGAAUUGGAAUGACUUCCAAGCAUACAUUGCAUCACUUCAUUUUUUUUUUCUUUUCCACUGGUGCGGAAGCGUGUUUGAAUUCUUGAAAUAAGAAUUAUAAUGAAAGAAAUAUGAACCGAUAUAGGAAUAAUAUGCUUCUAUUGAUUGAAUAAUGAAUAAUUGAUUGAGAAUUGUACAAUAGCUUCUAUAUUUAUAGGCAAAUUCCUAUUUCUAACAGUACUAGAAAAUUGAAAUAAGGAAACUAGUGAACUAAUAAAACUCUAUUCUAAUUAAAACUCUCAAUAAAAUAAAAGUCCUAACACAAUAAAACUAAAAAGAAAAUAAAGUCUUAGAAAAUAUAAAAUACAAUUGUAGUAGGAAUCCUAUUGCAGUUGUACUACAUCAAUCCCCUCCACUUGAAAGAAAACUUGCCCUCGAGUUUUGUGUUUGCAAGGAAAAUUCAUCUCGAGGAAAGUAUUCAUAAAUAUCAACAACAUUAAAAGUAUCGAAAAUGUUCAUAUCUGCUGAAAGAUCAACUUUAUAAGUAUUAUCGCCAAUUUUUUGAAGAAUGCGAAAAGGACCAAUCUUCUUAUCUAUAAGUUUACUGUAAGUGCCAACAGGAAAACGAUUUUUUCUGAUAUGAACCAUCACUAAAUCACCUUCGUUGAAUAGCUUAAAGCGCCUAUGUUGGUCAGCAGCAGCCUUGUAACGAAUAUUAGCAUCUUCUAAAUUUUGUUUAUUUUGUUUUACCUCGUAAUGAAUUCUUUGAAUAUGUUCAGCAAACUGCUCGAAUCAUAUUGCCAAGAGUUCGAUUAGCCACUUCGGUUUGACCAUCUAUUUGGGGAUGACUUGUGCUACUAAAUUUUAAAGAAGUGUCAAAUAUUUUCCACAAUGUCCUCCAAAAGUGACUUAAAAACUUUACAUCUCUAUCAGAAGUUAUAGAACAAGGGAUACCAUGUAGGAGAACGAUCUCGCGAAAAAAUAAAUUAGCCACGUAAGAAGCAUCUGUAGUUUUCUUACAAGGAAUGAAGUGAGCCAUUUUUGAAAAUCGAUCAAUUACGACCAAAACAGAAUCAACUCCCCGUUGAGUUCGUGGGAGACCGAGAACAAAAUCCAUUGUAAGAUCUUGCCAUAUUGUAUCUGGAAUAGGCAAAGGAGUAUAAAAGCCAGUAUUUUGAACUUGUCCCUUAGCUUUCUGACAUAUUGGGCAACGUUGAACAAAACGACCAAUAUCACUUUUGAGUAGGGGCCAGUAAAAUCUCUCUUCAACCAAGCUGAUUGUCUUAUCUCGACCAACAUGUCCGCCUAAACCGCCUGCAUGUAGUUCUCGAAUCAAGUGCUCACGCAAAGAAGAACGAGGAAUGAAUAAUUGCGUUCCCUUAAACAAGAAUCCUUCCUGAAGAAGGCAAUCGGGUAUAAAUUCCUUAUCAUUGCAUCGAGCCCAUAUAUCGCCAAAAUCUUCAUCAGUUGCAUAUAGUUCCUUUAAACAAUCAAACCCAACUACUUUUGUUUUAAUUGUAGCUAGAAGAGAUGCAUAGCGACUUAAUGCGUCUUCUACUUUAUUCUGUUGGCCAGAUUUAUGUUUUAUAACAAAAGUGAAUUUCUGCAAAAAGGUAAUCCAUCGAGCGUGCAUUCGAUUCAUUGUUUUUUGAGAAUUAAUAAACUUCAAAGUUUGAUGAUCUGUAAAUAGCACAAAUUCUCGUUGAACCAAGUAAUGUUCCCAAUGCUUUAAUGCUCGAAUAACGGCAUAAAAUUCUAACUCAUACUUAGUCCACUUUUGUCGUGGUUCACUAACCUUUUCACUGAAAAAUUCAACUGGGCAGCCUUCUUGGGACAACAUUGCUCCAAUGCCCAUAACUGAAGCAUCACACUCAACUUCAAAUAUUUUCUCGAAGCUAGAUAGUGCCAACACCGGUGUAGUGCAUAACUUGUUUUUGAUUGUCUUAAAACUAUCUUCCCGUGCUUUGCCCCACUGGAAUUGGCCCUUUUUCAAGCAAUCAGUGAUAGGUGCUAUAAUUUUACUAAACCCUCGAAUGAAGCGCCUAUAAAAAGUUGCUAAUCCAUGAAAGCUCUGUACUUCUCGCACGGUUUUAGGAGUUGGCCACUCGCGUAUUGCUUUCACCUUUGCCUCAUCAACUUGAAUACCAUCUUUUCCCACCAUUAAACCAAGAAAUAAUAGUUGGUCGGUCAUAAAGCUGCACUUUUUGAGAUUAAUAUACAAUUUAUUUUCCUGAAGGGCUGAAAAAACUUCUGUAAGAUGUGCUAAGUGCUCAUCUUCAUUUUUGCUGUAGAUAAGAACGUCAUAAAAAUAAACCACCACAAAAUUUCCCACAAAUGGACGAAGAACUUGGUUCAUCAAUCGCAUAAAUGUGCUCGGCACGUUUGAUAGCCCAAAUGGCAUCACUAACCACUCGUAGAGACCAUCUUUUGUUUUAAAAGCUGUUUUCCACUCAUCGUCAAGGCGUAUAUGGAUCUGAUGAUAGCCACUCCUUAAAUCAAGCUUGGUAAAUAUCACUGCACCUUCCAACCUAUCGAGCAUAUCAUUGAGACGCGGGAUGGGAAAGCGAUACUUGAUUGUUAUUUUAUUAAUGGCACGACUGCCUAUACACAUUCGCCAACUGCCAUCCUUCUUUGGAAUGAGUAAAGAAGGAACUGCACACGGACUUAAUUCAUUAACCUGUCGCUGCAACUCUUCGUGUUCUACUGGGCUCAUGCGAUAAUGUGGCAAGUUAGGUAAACUAGCUCCAGGUGCCAAAUCAAUAUGAUGUUGGAUAUUUCACAUAGGGGGCAACUCGUUUGGUAACUCGUCAGAUGCUAUCUCGGCAAAAUCAGCAAAUACUUUCUGAACUUUGGUGGGAAUCUGUAUAGUUACUUCUGAUGGACCUUUAACAACCAAGGCCAAUACUGUGCAAGGCUCUUUUACUUGUUCCAAGAAUCCUGGGCCUGAGAUGUUGGUAAAAAGUGGUUUCUCUUCCUUGAUGGCGGGGUUGGUUUUCAUAGGUUGAGAUUGUGGUACCAAAAGGAUCUUCCUAUUUAACCACCAAAAUAUGAAAGUAUUAUCCCGUCCCUUAUAAGUGGCAUAAACAUCAUAGUGCCAUGGACGACCCAAUAAAAUGUGAAAAGCAUCCAUAUCCACCACAUCACAUAUAAUUUCAUCUUUGUAAUAUUUUCCAAUUGACAAAGGAACCUUACAAAUCUCUAAAACUUAAACUUCCGGGCCCUUUUUAAUCCAUGCAAUCUUGUAUGGCGAAGGGUGUCUCUCAGUCUUCAGAUUUAGAGCCUUUACCACUGCUUUCGAAAUAACAUUCUCACUACUACCGCUGUCAAUGAUCACAUUGCAUAUCUUAUUACGAACAAUGCAUUGAGUCCUGAAGAUCUUGUGUCGUUGAGAGGUAUCUGGCCCUUUGGAGCAAGCAAAAGGCGUUGGAUAAUGCACGCCAAUUCUUCCCCUGUAUUUGCAUCUGCAACAUCACCCCCCUCAUAAUCAUUAUCUUCAAGAUUUUGCUCUUCCCCACUGUCGCCUUCUUUUGCAAAGUUAAUGGAUCUUCUAUUUGGACAGCUAUUUGAAAAAUGACAUGGUUGAUUACACCGAAAGCACUUCCCCAGAUUAGGACGUAUAUACGGGUCAUUAUUGAUUCGUGGCUGUGUUUGAUUUCUGCCUUAGCUCUUAGAUCGAACAGGGGCGAGAGUUCCUCUUUGAUUCUGUGUUGAAUUUUGAAUUGGAGUAGCAUCCUUGCUGUUAUUAUUGUUGUUAUUUGAGAUUGUUGCACCCUUUGGAGUAGUAUAAGUUUCUUGAAUUGGCCUUCGAAAAUUUCCUUGAGUACGGGCUGUAGUUUUAUUCAUCUGAUUUUCCACUUUCAUUGUUAAAUUGACUGAAUCUGUCAUGGUCCAAAUUUCUUGAAGGGCCAAUCGAUCUUGAAUGACUAAUUUCAAGCCUCCUAUAUAACGAGCAAUUAAUUGAGCUUCAGUUUCAGACAAAUUAACUUGAGCAUUUAAUCGAUAGAAUUCCUUUGUAUAUUCAUUUACUGUCCUGUUAUUCUGUCGACAAUUCUAAUACUGCUGGUAAAAAAAUUGUUCAUAAUCCGAAGGAAGAAAUCGCCUUUGCAACAAACAUUUCAUCUUGGGCCAGGUUUGUACAUGUUGCUUUCCUUGUCUUUGACGAUUAAACUGUAAUUGUUCCCACCAUGCAGAAGCUCCAUCUUUUAAUUUGUACGCUACUAGUUUAACUUGACUUUGUUCCGAAAUAUUUAAAUAGUCGAAAAAAAUUUAACAGUGUGGAUCCAAUCCAAAAAAUCUUCAAUAUUUAAUCGAUCGUCAAAACUUGGCAAGUCCAUCUUCAUCUUAAAUUCUUGAACAUUGGGACCUCAAUUGUUAGCCCUCGGUCUAAAAUUUUCUUCUUCUUCGGAUGAAUAGUUGAUCCCCCGUGGCCGUCUUUGAAAGCCCCUAUCCCUUGGUUGACAAUUAGGGUGCCCAUGCAAAUCAACAUCCCUCGGUCAACAAUCAAAAUUUAAUCCUCGUCUGAAAUUAAACAUUCGGUCAAAAUUGUCUACGUGGUCAAUAUUAUUUCUUUGGUCAAAAUUGUUGUCUUGGUCAAAAUUAUAUUUUUGGCCAAAAUCAUCAAAAUCACGUUCCCUCAAAUCAAAUUGUUCAUCUGCCUCUCGUUCCUCUCUUAGUGUUGCUCGCGGUCGAACACUGGCUCUGCCGUCGCCGUCGGCUGGGACCCUUCGUCGGAGGUUGGCGUCAUCACGUAGACCACCGUGACCUCUAUUCCUCCUUUCAUACACUUGUAGUGGGAUGGACUCGCGGAAAUCACGAUUCGCGAUUGUGUAGCCGCGCCGACCAAGAGGGCUAGGGCUCUGUUGCUGUGGACGGUCAUCUGCAAAGGCCUGGUGUCGUCUCUCCUGGCUUGGGUCGACGUGGGGUUGGGGUAUAGGCAUCAAUCCCAUACUGGUUGCAACUCUUGGACUUUUUACUUCCAGGUGAGUGUCUUCGUCGGAAUCUGAAUCAUCUUCUUUCUGUUGGAUUGGUUGUUUUCGCAAUGUAUUCAUUGUAAUUUAAUUUUUCUCCUUGCUGUCGUGUUCCUGGAACGUGUCUGUUCGUCACAGGUAACGCAGUUACCAUCUGCUUGAGAUUGCGAAGAGCUUCGUCGAUCCCCUUGAUUCGUUGUUCGAGUUUGUCGAUCCUCCGUUCGUCGUCAGCGGUCCGACUGCCUUCAGUACCUUCAUCAGCCAUCGAAUUAAGGUGAAUUCCUUGCUCUAAUACCAAUUUUGGUGCGGAAGCGUGUUUGAAUUCUUUUAAUAAGAAUUAUAAUGAAAGAAAUAUGAAACGAUAUAGGAAUAAUAUGCUUCUAUUGAUUGAAUAAUGAAUAAUUGAUUGAAAAUUGUACAAUAGCUUCUAUAUUUAUAGGCAAAUUAUUCCUAUUCCUAACAGUACUAGGAAAUUGAAAUAAGGAAACUAGUGAACUAAUAAAACUCUAUUCUAAUUAAAACUCUCAAUAAAAUAAAAGUCCUAAUACAAUAAAACUAAAAAGAAAAUAAAGUCUUAGAAAAUAUACUAAAAUACAAUUGUAGUAGGAAUCCUAUUGUAGUUGUACUACAUCAUCCACCCCAUGGUUCACUAUGUCAUCAUCAAAGGAUUUUAAUUCCUGUUAAAAUAUCAUUAUGAAGUACAUCAUUCAAUUAUACCAGUGAUUGUAUCAUAUUUGAGACAAAUAAUUACAUUUGUAUCUAUGCCUGAGUUGCAUAUAAGGUUUUAAAUUUUAGUGAAUUACCUAGACCCAAUUUGAGGACACAACUUCAUGAACUCAAAACAUCAAACGAGAAUAGCAUCUGUGUUCAUCAAGGAACUAAAAACGAAUCACAAACAUUAUUGACAAAAAGGAAAAAUUACCUGGGCAGGAUAGGUCUAGCCUCCGGUAACAUACUGAAUGACGGAAUAUAUAUAAAGAAACCUAGCUGGGUAAACGACAGGCCCUGUAUCACCUUUCAAUUUGUUGUAAUCUUUUUCUCCUCCCAAAACCCACUGACCUUUAAUAAAUUAAGUUUUAAGUAUAAAAAUUUUGUUGAAAAAUCCAAUUAAAUUGAAUGCAAAAUAUAAAAAUUAUGAACUUCUACUCUUACCUGUGACAUAGAUGAAUCCCAAUCAAUUCUCGUGUCUGAAAUUACAAAAAUCAAAAAAUUAGAAUCACAAAAAAAGAAAAGUUAAUUCAAAACAUGUGAACAAGCUUGAAUUCACAGGGAAUGUAGGUGAUGACGAGAGGCCCUGUAUCACCUUUCAAUUUGCUGUAAUCUCUUCGUCCUCCAAGAAACCCAUCGGUCGAGAUGAACAGCGACCCAACAUUGGUGAGAAACACCGCCAAAAUCCACAGAAAUUAAUGUUUAGAAAACGUACGCCCAUCAAUAACAACCUCCGAAGGCCUAAAUGCGUGGAAGCAAAAAAAAAAAAAAAAAAAGAUAUUUUGAAGUUCAAUAAUGUCCAUUAAUCAGGAGCUUUUCUUGGACGGCUAGAAAAUGAAAAGGGAAAGUAAUAAAAGUAGCAGAACAAGGUAAAGGUGAGGAUGGCUUUAUGAGAUUAGAAGAUAUUUACUGAUGAACAGUACGAAACCAGCUUGUAAACAAUGUUUAUCGAGUUAAGGUGUGAAACGGAGUGAUACAAUAAUGAAUAGUAAAUUGCUAUCAUCAAAAAAAUGUUGAACCCAAACUUUAAGGGUCCCCCACUGCCCCUAUCUUAGAGUGUCGUGAGGGAGGUAAAUCGCAGGUUAUGCCUCCAAAGGUAAAGAGUGGAAGGUUGCUUGUACACUUGUACUUAUUCAAGAGCCAAAUCCAUAUUUCAGGAUUCGAACCCUUGAUGAUAUUUUGAAGUUCAAUAAUGUCCAUUAAUCAGGAGCUUUUCUUGGACGGCUAGAAAAUGAAAAGGGAAAGUAAUAAAAGUAGCAGAACAAGGUAAAGGUGAGGAUGGCUUUAUGAGAUUAGAAGAUAUUUACUGAUGAACAGUACGAAACCAGCUUGUAAACAAUGUUUAUCGAGUUAAGGUGUGAAACGGAGUGAUACAAUAAUGAAUAGUAAAUUGCUAUCAUCAAAAAAAUGUUGAACCCAAACUUUAAGGGUCCCCCACUGCCCCUAUCUUAGAGUGUCGUGAGGGAGGUAAAUCGCAGGUUAUGCCUCCAAAGGUAAAGAGUGGAAGGUUGCUUGUACACUUGUACUUAUUCAAGAGCCAAAUCCAUAUUUCAGGAUUCGAACCCUUGAUACGGCACCCUUAAGCAAAGCUGGAUUUCUCCACCUUCCCCUUUUAUCACUUGGAGAUGUGCCUUGGGGGCGAAAUUGCUAUCAUCUCUUUUAAGAGAGGAAGGAUUUAUUGUCUUAUAUUAUUUAGUUCACAAUGUUAAAAAACUCAUUGGUUCAUUCCAGUAUAAACUUUGAUGUUUUUAAUUUCGUUUUUGUUAUUGCUCAAACGAAAGAAGCGAAGAAGGGAAAUUUUGAUAGAUUAUAGAACUAUAAUGAAAUAUACAAUCAACCAACAUUUAUCGAAUUUCAAAAACUAGAAAAGUUUGGAUAGAGCUUGAUCUAAGCAUUGGCUACAGCUUUAAGUAAGAGGAGUAGUUAUGAACACUGAAUACUAGACGUAAAUUGCAUUCAUGUUUUUGUCCAUUUUUUAUUUCAACCGAUGAUAUUUAUAUAGAAAAUUCAUAAGCUACACUUCAAAUUUGGCAAAUCAUUACAACUUGUGGUGGAGAAAUUCACAUGCUUCCUCCUCAUAUUACCAACACAGUUAUUACGAACAGUAGAGAAACUAAAUAGUUGAUGUGGACAAUAUAUAUAUAUAGAUUACAGCUUGUUAUAUAAGAAGUUAUAUAAGAAGAAUCACUUCAUUGAUACUGAAAUUACUAGUGCACAUAUAUCAUCAAUUAGAUGUCGAUGAAAAUGCAUCUUUAUUUGAAUCUUCACGCUACAUCAGAGCUUCAAAUUUUUCAUCCUACAUGUGAACGAUACGAUAGUUUUAGUUAAAUAUAUAAUAAAAUCGAUAAGAAGUCAGAAUCCCUCCCAAUUUGAGUUUUACUCAUAUCUCGAAUGAAUUCAAGAACAUAUUCAAAGAAAUUCUGAUCUGGUCGGAAUAGUUUGAGGGUUCGGCCACUUCUAUGCGUGUGUUUAUGAACACACAUGUUCUUGAACCAAUACAAAUAAGUUGGUGACUAUCUUAUUUACAUAGUGAAAUGUGAAUGGCAUACUCCUGUACUAUUUGUGCUUCCUGGCCAGGGUAUAAGACAAAAAAUUUCAUGGACCGGUGACCAACAUGAUCUUAUGGCAUGGAUGUUAUUAAGUUCUUAGACUAGCAUCCUAGGAAAUACAAGAUUAUUGCAUUUAUUUAGUGCAUGUUUUGUUUGGACUAAACAAUGAGAAUAUACAUGUGCUAUGUUACAGUUCAAACAAUUUAUUGGUGGCUACUCUUCUCAGACAUCGAAUGUCUGUUUAAUUAUGAUUUUAGUAUCACAGGUGCGUAGAUACAAAUAUAUAUUUAGAGAAAUAAUCUAUUAAAACACAGAUGAUAUGACACAUCAAUGGAGUGGAUAAACAUAAUUUAUGGUUGAUUGCAAUAUUUGAAUUAAAUUUGUCAUCCACCUAUAGAUCAAUUAUCCAUGUUGGUGGUGUUUAGCAGAUCAUUUAUCUAUAUAUAUAAUGCACGUAGGAAUGUCGUGUGAAAAAGUGUUGAGAAGGAAGUGACUUAGUCUUGAGGCUAUAUGAGAGGAAAACGCAAAGCUGGAACAUUAAGGUGACAAGAUCAUUUUUUGAUAUUAGACUGGUAAUUUAAACUUUUAAACGAGGUAGUUCAACGUUCAUGUUACCUUUGCUCCCGUCUUUCACAUUACCACCUCCAGUAGUCUUGUAGUUAGGGAAGGGGAUAUGGCCACUCUCGAUACACUUGAUAUCCUCCACAAGGAUUUCAUAAUGCCUCUUCACUUCUUCCGCAGUUUUCCCUCCGAUGGCCUUGGCGACACUGUCCCAACGGUCCGGUGUGUCCUUAUCGUACACAGCCAGAGCCUUCUCAAAGGCCUUGUUCUCCCUAGCUGUCCAAGUGCCUGAGCCAUGGGAUGACAUUCAGCCUGAUGCAAUUUGAUUGAAUUUAGACAAGUAUGAACCGCUAAAUAAAAUGGAAUAGCCGAAAGAAGACAAAUAGCAAAAAGAAUGCAGAAGAGAUUGAGACUUCAGUUAAAACACAGAAGUGAAAAACUGAUAUGUGCAUAGAGGCAGCAAAUGCUAGUUCUUUUAUAAGCUCCAGGAGAAUGGGGGAGGUGGGGUCGUGCAAGUUGGCCUAUAAAUGCCAAAGAUUGAAGAUUUUUUAUGAUUUGUCUUAAUCCAAACGACAACUGAAGAAGGACAAAGAACAGUAACAAAUUUGAAGAAUCUCCAGCUUCAAGAAAUUGUAAUUUCACUCUUCAUUUUCUUUCUUACAGUUUACUGAGCCGGGCUGUCCAUGUGGCUGUAUAGCCAAGCAGGCACCCGAAGGCCUUUAUUAUCUUUUUGGAUUUUUAUUAUUAUUAUUAUUUUUUGAUUUUUUUUAAAGAAAAUCUAUAAAAAUAAAAUAAAAUUGAAAAAGGUAUUGAAACCGGUUACUCGCCUUACCCAACAGGGCACUGUAGACCACCCUCACCUUAAGGUUAGUGUCUUGUCGGACAACCAUGUCGCUAAAGAAAUGUUCUAAUCGCUUGCAAAGUGCAAUCCUAGUGAAAAUAGCAAUGCUCCAUCGAUGAGAGCUAGGCUAUAACUUGAACAUGUGUCUUUAAACGUCGAAGGUGUAGGUUUAUAUCUCACAUAUUAUGAAUUUCUCUCCGUGAUCAAAGAGUCACUCGUAAAUUAUAUCGGAUUACCUAAUAACACUCGUGUGGGUCAAAUUCGACGACUGUCCAAAAGAUCUCAGAAUUUUCGAGAGACUAUCAAUAAUUCCAUGUUUAUUACGAUGGAUUGGGUGAGUAAUGAAUCUUGUCCAGCGUACCAAACAAAUGAUCUUGUAACUACUUUACCUUCGUCCUUAACAAUAAUCCAAGGUCUUAUAGCUGUCCUGCUGAGUCCGUACAAUGAUUGUGUUCCCCCAGAAUCUCGUUUUUAAGCGAGAGUAGGGCAGCUCAGUUCUCUCCCUUAUUGGUGCUAGGUCACCUGCCCAGAAAAGGUUCUCCUGUUUCAUUCAGUAUGAAGAUUGAUUUCGUGUAGUUUCACUAUUAGACAUGUUUUUUUAUAUGAUUUUUAUCAAUAAAAAUCCCCUGAAUUUCUGUUCGGAAUCUUCUGAAGAUCUGCCAUGGUUAAAAAAAUAUAUUAACGUCCUGUGUUGCAGCAUGCCUGUAUUAAGGAAGAAAAAGAAGUUGAGGGUUGUGUUCAUUUUAUUUCCUAGUUCGAUUAAAUACUCCGUAACUUAUGGUUCUUGUUCAAGUAGAAUAUUAAGCUUAAGUUCUAAUUGCAGCUUCACGGCGGUAUUUGAAGAUUAUCAUCACCGAGGUCGAAUGCAAGGUGUAUGCCAUGUUCAUGUGCAUUGGAUGAUUCGCGUGUAGAAAUCAGGCAUCCAUGAGCACUUGAAGUGAACUCAAUUUAUGCAGUGAUGUGAAUGAACACAAGAAGCAUCAUGAUUUUUGAUAUUCAAAAUCGUUCUUCAGAAAAGCUAUGAACAUCGAAAAUGAAAAGAUGCUGACAGUGAGUUCCAUAUCAGAUUUAAUCUGCCGGGUGAUAUUGACAAAAAAUUUCCCUUUUAAGGACUUAAAACUUUCAAAUGAUAUGAUUCAAUUAGGUGGGUUAAUGUCUACCGCACUUGAAACUACAAGUGUUCAGUGUAAUAAAGAAAAGUAAAACUUCGAUCUGUGGUCGAAGGCUUAAGCAUGCUUGAGCACUCAAGAAAUAGAAUUUUCCUUUGUUUUAUUGGUUCUUGAGUCAUAAUAAACAUAUUCAAGGUGAGAAACAUAGUUCGCAUCAUCUUUUAAUUUGAUUGUUUAUUAAAUGAGAUGGGCUGGACAGACUCCGUCCAGGGCGCCGAAUGGAGGGGGUGCCAAAUUGCCGCGUUGGCCCUGUCCAAUUUGGAGCCCUGUCCGGUUAGCAAAGUUCACAUAGGUUUUAUUAAUCAAACUUUUCCUUCAGUCCAUGAUGAAGGUGUACGAUGAUGAUCUUCCUGAAAUAAUAAUAUCAUACAAGUGAUGGGCAACAGACAUGAAAUCAUAUGACAGAAUCUGAUUUUGCUCCAGUUGGCCAGUUGGGUUGAUUUACUCUUCCUUUUCAUUUGAUUCUUGGCACAGAAUUUUCAAUAAAAGAUAAUGUAAGAUAAGGAGUUUCUGUUAAAACUUGGGGCCCAUCUUAAUAAAAUCAACCUUGAUAAGAGGAGUAGCUCAAGAUUUUUUUUAAGUUGGCCAAUAUUUUGAUAGUUAACCGAUGUGAAAUUUUAUCCCUUAAUACGUCCCCGCAAGAUGGUGGCUCAUUUGAGCAGACCAAUCUUGCGAUCCGUUGCUCAUUAAUUAAGAUUUAUAAUCAGAUCAAAUUGUUCGUUGGAGUUUAAUGGGUUCUGAUACCAUGUAAGAUUUGGGGUCCAUCUUAAAAAGGUUAAUCUUGUUAAGAGAAAUAGCCCAUGAUCUUUUUAAAUUGGUCAAAAUUUCGAUAUUUAAAUGGUGUGGGAUUUUAUCCCUAACACUUUCAUCACUCCAUACGGCCUGGGACUUCUUUAUUGAGUCUUCAAUUUCCCUUUUAUAAGUUUAACUUCGUUAAGAGAAGUAGCUCAAACUUUUAUAGAUUAAAUUAUUAUUUUCAUAUUUGCAAGUCAGUAGAAUUGGUAAUUGAGUUGCAUUCAACGUCAGUCGAUAAUUGGCUGACUGCAAAGUAUACAGGUUCCUGUACAAAUUUCCUUUCCUUGUAAAAUUAACAGUUUGGUUAGUCCAGUAGCCGAGGUGAGUUUGUCAACCGAAUAGACUUUGAUUGCCAAAACCAGAAAAGGAUUUUGGAAAGUGCGUGCAAUUUUUUGAUGGUGAGUGUAUUUCAGCAUAAGUUCGUACGAUUGCGUGUAUGUCUAUAUACAAAAACCUUUCCUUUUUAACCCCAACUUUAAGGGUCCCCCACCGCCCCUACCCUGGAGUAUCGUGAGGGAGGUAAAUCGCAGGUUAUGCCUCCAAGGGUACAGGGUGGAAGGCUGCUUGUACACUUGCACUUAUCCAAGAGCCAAAUCCAUAUUUCAGGAUUCGAACUCUUGACGCGGCAGCCUCAAGCAAAACUGGAUUUCUCUACCCUCCUCUCUUUACCACUUGGAGAUGUGCCUUAGGGCAAAUACCUUUCCUUUUAUUAUAAUGCGUGAUAGGUGACUUUCAUGAUAAGGUUCGAGUUCUUAGGCCACUCAAUAACAAAUUACAGACUUUUUGACAAAAUUUAGCCCCCUAUUUUAUGGCUAUUAUUUUGGAAAAAAAUAAUUUUUUUAACAGUGAUUUUUUGGAGAAUAGAUGUUUAAAAAGUAGAAAAAAUUUGAUUUUACGUACAAAAUAUUUUCUUGUGUAAAUGUGGAAUUGAAAUAAGUAUGAGAAUUAAAGAAUUUUAUUUUAAAUGGAAACAAACAAGAGCUCGGUACGAUAUGAUUGUUGGGCUUAGGUGGCAAUCAUCUGAGUUAUGUACAAGUGGACAAACACGUCAUUCUAGGUGUUGCCACAUAGGAGAUAGUCUAACGACUAUUUACCAAGUGACGUGAGUUUACAACAUGAGCUUAGUGGGACAACUUGGUUGUCUUCGGAACCAAAUAUAGCAUAGCGCCUGUUUGGGAUAAAUAUUCAUUUGGAAUAUAAUCAAUUAUUGUACCAUUGCUGUUGUCAUUUUUUUUACUUCCUUCUCAAUAAAAGCCAAACAUUGAUACCCAUUGCACUUUGCAAUGGUAUAAAAAUUAAUUUUAAUCUUGUAAAAAGUAGAGCUAGACAAGGCAUAGACUCAUUCUUGGGCUCGUGGUUCAUAUUGUUCUUUCAUUUAGAUGAUGUGACAUUUUAAUUGAUCUAAGGACAUAUAUUCAUACCUUUUUUUUUUUUUUUUUUUUAAUGAUGGGAGAACCCGUAACCGCUAAUUUUUGGAUGCGCACUGAGUAAACCAUCGGGCUAACGCAAUAGACUGCGAAUCACACUAGUAAGAUAAAUUGCACUAGGCAAGUUCGGUGUGACGGACUUGACCAGAAAAGUGUUGAUAGGGGGAACCGAUUGUAUGUCCAAAGAUUAUGGCAACUUUUCAAUUUACAAAGGACACAUUUUCAUUGGAUGACCAUAAAUAUCUGUUUGGAAAGAAGUCAGCAAUUCUAAAACAGAGAAUUUAAAAGGUAAAUAUCGUAGCCGAAAGUGGAGUAGAGUAGCCCCUAUCUAUGGCCCUAUGUACACUAAAUUCUUGCAACUUGAUUCAAUUGAAUCUAUCCAUUUUCGGUGCCUCUUAAUGUCUUCAAAUCUUAGACUAUGAUGCCUCCCAAGAAUCUUAGAAAUUUAGUGAAAUAUACUCAGAAGUGUCCUCUUCAGUCAAGAUCCUGUAGAACCUUGACCAUCAUAAGCACUUGGCGCAUCUUGUCUAAUCUUGUAAGUAGCUUAUUUGGGUUUUCCUUUUUGGCCAUAGAAUACCCAAAUAAGCUAUUUACAAGCUGAGCCGAAUAUGCCAUAGACACGAGUAGCGAUUAGCGGUCAGGACACAUCUCAUCGGAUCCAAAAAACUGCUGUUAGCAAUAGAUAAGAAUUCUCUUGGUAAAAGAUAUGGGUUUUUUUCACUCAUCGUGCAUAAAAAAUCUUGAAAAAAAAUCCUACUCCCCAAUCUUAUACAGUAUACAAAAUGUCCUUACUGUUUUGCAUUAUGCUCGUAUUAACCCAGAGUUGCUUUAGAAGAAUCUUUGAACCGUGUUGAUUUAGGUAACACCAAUUAAUUCUGAAUUUAGACGCGAUCAUGCGAACACUAGUCAAUGUUUCUUUACUGCUGUUAGGAGAUUUCAAUGAAAAUUUGAACCAAUAAUUCAUAUUUGUUUACGAUCUUUCAUUGCUGUUGUGAAGCCAUUAGGUGUAAGCAUUUAACUCCGUGGGUGAUGGAAUUUCUUUACUUGCAUUCUUGCUAGUGUUAAAAUUUAAGAUUCCGUUUUAAAAUGUCAAACUCAUUAAUAGAAGUAAUUGAAACCCUUAUAUGUUAUUUGAUCUACAACCAAUUUAGAAUUUAUUCCUUAACAGCUAGCACUAUCUAAGCUUUGUUCUUCACGUCCUUAAUACCAUCAUGCAGCAUUUCCUCCUAAAAGAAAACGUAGCAUUCUUCAACAUAAAUUUCGGGUCAAAAUGCUUGCUUAGAUAAAUUUCAAGAGCUUUUGUGGUUAAAACACCUUGCUAUUCCAUGUCCCGAAUUCUCCAUAUUUUAGCACUCUCAUAGUCUCAAUCUUGAUCACAAUGAAAAGGAAUUAUUAUAUACAACCUAAGUACCUAAUUUUGUGAAUUUACAUGCCAAAUAUAUGAUUCUAGACACUUAUCUAUUUUUGAGUGGUUUUUCAAUACAAAUUUCACUUCUAUUCUUGCCAUCUUUUCUCUCACCCCAAAAUUACUAGACAAUGUGACUGGAGUUAUUUGGAAUUCUUGAAGUUGCUGGUGGUUGCAGGAAACUACUCGUAUCUUCCAAAACAUCCAAAUUACAAGAUUAAGCCCCUAUUUGUCAUUUGAGCCCCAUUAAAUUUAUAAUACAUUUUCCAACAAAAUAAUGUUAUACAUAAACAAAAAACUUUUACUUCUUUUUCAACCGUACAUUCUUCAAAAAAUCACUAUUCCAAAAAUUAUAAAAUCAAAUAGUAGGGGCGAAACGGGGGCUAAAUGUUAUAAGAAAUAUGUCCUCAUUUCAUAAUUGCUUGAUAAGAUGCUGAAUGAAGGAUUAUCUCAGAUUCUCCAUAUCAUUCUUGUUGUGUGAAAAUAAAUAUCUGUUUGGAAAGAAGAUGGCAUUUCUAUUUGAUCUUAGCCGAAAGUGGAGUAGAGUAGCCCCUAUCUAUGGCCCUAUGUACACUGAAUUCUUGCAAGUUGGUUCAUUUUGAAUCGGAUUUUGCAAAAGGUACCCGAAAUUCUUGCAAGUUGAUUCAUUUUGAAUCGGAUUUUGCAAAAGGUACCUGGAAUUCUUGCAAGUUGGUUCCGGAUUUUUACACUCCGGGUUAUCCGUUUCUCACAUGGGGGGUAGGUCCCAAGCAUUUAUUGGGUGUGAGACUCGACCUCCACGUGGGGGGCGGGUAACCCGGAGUGUAAAGUUUCAGGUACAAAUGACAAAAUCAUUUUGAAUAUACUUGUUUCUAGAAUCCAAAAAACUACAAUGAGUUAAAAGGAAUAUAUAUAAUAAAACUCUUCUACUAGAAAAUGCUUGACAUGUUGGUUGAUAGUUACUCACAUUCGCAUGGGACUCGAGCCAACCCCACAUGAAUAAAAAAUGCAAAAAAUUGAAGCCCCCACCCCUUCUUGUGUCUACUCUGUCAAGAAGAGUGUAAAGCCCCUCUUGUACAACCUGCACGGUUGGAAUAUAUAUGGUGUCUUUGGGUGAGUAGUUGGUACAAAUGAAAUAGGAAUUUGUGGAUUGUGGGCUGUCUCUAAUGUAAGACCCAAAACACCAAAAUGCAUCAUAUUUUGGUGCAAAACAAUUACAAUGCAACACUAUACUUUGCACUAUUUUGGUGCAAAAGUAUACAAAGUCAUUUUUACCCUUUCUUUUCAUUUCUCAAAUAAAUUGAUUAAGGGUAUUUGUAUCAUUUGUGUUAUAUAUUUUUAAUACAAUAAAUUAUUAUUAUUAUUAUUAUUAUUAUUAUUAUUAUUAUUAUUAUUAUUAUUAUUAUUAUUAUCAUUUAAAAUAAAUUUUAAAUGUAAAAAAUAAUAAUUAAUGAAUUAAAUAAAAGAAGAAAAAAUUCUAAAAUAUAACAAGCACAAUUAUUUGCAAUUUGAAAUGCAAAAAUCAAUAAUUUAUGGGAAGAACAUAUGAAUUCCGAAAAUUAAAUUGCAAUAAUAUUUCGACUUUGUAAUAUUGUAAUAUCCUAACUCGAAAUGCAUUGCACUAUUUUUUAAUGACAUAAUUUAAUAUUUUCAUUGUUGUAGUGUUUUUAUUAAUUGCACUAUGUUUUUUAUAUUUAUUAAUGAAUUUAAUUUUUUCUGUAAUUUAUGUAUUUUUAAAAUAAAUUAUUAAUUAAUAUUUCAAAUAAAUAAAUUAUUAAGAAUAAAAAAGAAAAAAAAAUGGUUAAACAUUGUUCAUUUGAUAUAAUUUUUGGUGUAAUGGUUGUAGAUGAAUUUUAACUUGGUGUAAGAUUUAGUGCAGUACUGAAGAUGGUCUUGAGGCUUGAAACACCCAGAGAUGAAUUUUUUCAGGCUUAUUGUCGAACUUUGGUCCUCGAUAUCAAAUAUGUAUGAAUAAUACCACAUUUGGGUGUGGAUGAGUUUCACUGCAGGACUCGAAGAUCUUUCAAGCCAAUGGAAUUUUGGCAUGGUUUUCAUAUGGCGUUCGAGAGAUUUCUCAAUUUAUCUAUAAAAUUCCAUAAUAACUUUCUCACAUAAGACAACAAAUGAUAUGUGAUUAACAGAAGUAUCCCAGGUGAUCUUAUAGAACCUUAACCAUCACAUGGACUUGAUUUGGAAGAGUCGAGCACACUCGCAACAUGACUAGCUAACAUAUGUCUAAGAAGACUCUGGCAAACACGAGCCUCUUUCCCAGACAGUGCUCGGAUGAUCUAGACAAAGAUCCUCACAGUAAAAGUUACUGGUUUUGUUGCUCAUCGAUGCAUAGAAAAUUUUGAUAAAAAAGAGACUCUGGUCCCUUUGGAACAAGUUGCUUAUGAUUCUCCUCUAAUGAUUAGUUGAAAGUUACAUUCGCAUGUCCAAGAAUCUAUACAUCGAAAAGACAAAUCUUGGGAAUUUAGAGAAACUUUCUAUAGAUAUUUGGAAUCUUUAUCAUUGGGUCUAUUUUGCUGGUCCUUCCUACUAGUUGGAGAAUGCGAACAAUUGGGAUUCAUAUUCGUGUUCUUUGUGAUUUUGCCAUAUUUUUCUGAUCUCGUUUUAUUAUUUCCUCAACAGUUCGCAGUCAGUGUAGAAUCAUUUGUUUUAUAAUUAUUCGUAACCCUACAAGUACCAUUUUUCUGUUUGUAAUUCUUAAAUAGAAAAGAUAUACAAUUUAUAUUAUUCUCUUCUUUGUUUCUAUCUCAAUUGGCAUUUAGUUUCUAAAUUCUAACAGAGUUUUGCAGAUUGUAUGUGGCUAGCAUGCUUGAUUUUGUGUAGCAGGAGACAAAAGUACGAAAUUUCAUUAUGGGAUUUGCUUUUAGAACAUAUCAUUUCAUUGCAAGAAGUUCUUGAAUUUCUGCUAAGAAUUAAUAGAUUCUGCGGAAAGAUACAAAAUUAUUGGGGACACUUCCUCAUACUAGAAGAAAAUAUAGAUUCUGUGACAUGACAGAAAGGCAUCAUUGGAUUCUUUAUUCCUGAAUCUUGAUUUAUAUUGGUGUAGUACUAAAAUCAUUUAGUUAAAAGAAACCAGUAAGCUGGAUCGAUUCGACUAGUCCACUUGUCUCUUUUUUUUCUCUACUUCCCCCUCGUGAAUGUUCGAACUUGAGGUACAUUUUGGACCAAUAUUUUAAUAAUCAAUUUUGUUAUGUUUAAUCUUGUUAUUGUAAUAUUUCGUAAUAGAGACAAAUGGCAUCUAGUUCUUUAAGUAACACCCUACCUUACGACGAUUAGUUUUUUGAAUUUGUAAUCUCCAAUUGGAAAUCAUAUAAUAGAAUAUUGAGUUUUUCAAAAUAUGUUUGUUAAAUUUUUCGAAAGUGAAAGGGGAGAAAAAGGUCCUAAGUUGCUAAAAAUAUAUAUGACAAAGGUCCUAACAAACUAUAUAAUGUCAUGGGAUCAUGCCGCACUUACAAACUUUUUUUACAAAAUUCUUUACUCACUAUUCACAAUAGGAGGUGGGGAUCACGAGCCGACAUUUUUUAAAUUAACGUGGAGGCCACUUGUUUGUGGGAGUGAAUAACCCAUUUUGUACACAUUUGUUUGUACAUAUAUAUUUAUCCUAAUGUCAUUUGUGUUCAUGUUGUAAUUCAAGAGUGACAUAAUGAUACUAUUAAGUAAUUUACUUUAAUGACUAUUUUAAAAUUUUUAAUGAACUUCAGUGACCAUUUCUUAGUAUUACUCGAAGUACAAAAAUAUCUUUCUGUUUGAAUUUCACUACUGGACGAGAAAUUCUUGAAUUUCUGCUAAGAAUUAGUAGAUUCUGUGGAAAGAUACAAAGUUAUUGGGGGACACUUCCUUAUACUAGGAGAAAAUAUAGAUUCCGUGAGAUGAUAGAAAGGCAUCAUUGGAUUCUAUAUUCCUGAAUCUCGAUCCAUAUUGGUGUAGUACUAAAAUUUUUAAACCAGUAAGCUGGAUCGAUUCGACUGUCAACUCGUCUCUUUUUUUCUCAACUUACCCCCUCAUGAAUAGUCGAACUUGAGGAAUAUUCUCGUCCAAUAUUUUAAUAAUCAAUUUUUUUUAAUGACGGGGGAACCCGUAGCCGCUACCUUUCGAGUAUGCACUAGGUAAACCCUUGGGUUAACAUAAUAACUUGCAAAUCAUGCCAGCCAAGUAAACUUCACUAUGCAAACCCGAUGUGACAGGCUCGAUCGAAAAAAGUGUUGGUAGGGGGAAUCGAAUUCGUGACCAAAGGUUUUCGCGCUCGCCUACUUCACCAACUUGAGCACCCCAUCAGGGGCUUUUAUUAAUCAAUUUUGUUUAUGUCUAAUCUUGUUAUUGUAAUAUUUUGUAAUAAAGACAAAUGGCAUCUAGUUCUUUAAGUAGCACCUUACCUUACGACCAUUAGUUUUUUGAAUUUGUAAUCUCCAAAUGGAAAUCUAUAAUAAAAUAGUGAGUUUUUCAAAAUAUGUUUGUUAAAUUUUUCAAAAGUGAAUGGGGAGAUAAAGUUCCUAACUUGCUAAAAAUAUAUAUGACAAAGGUCCUACCGUACUAUCUAAUGUCAUUUGUGUUCAUGUUGUCAUUCGAGAGUGACAUAAUGAUACUAUUAAGUAAUUUACUUUAAUGACUAUUUUAAAAUUUUUAACGAACUUCAAUGACCAUUUCUUAGGAUUUACUCCAAGUACAAAAAUAUCUUUCUAUUUGAAUUUGACUACUAGGUAAAUUAACAUGCCAAAGUUGAAUUAGUUGCCCCUAACUUCUAAAGAUUAUGCUACUUGUACAUAAAAAUGGUACAUAAGAAAUGACAAAAUGACAUGGAGAGAAGAGAUUGAAUAAAAAAGUAGAUUGUGUUUAAACUGACAAAUGAUAGAGUGACAUACGACAUUAUGUAACCUCUUAUAUAAAACUUAAUGUACAUGUAGCAUUAAGGUCCAACUUCUAAUGGUCGACCACAAAAUACCAACGUUCGUUCUGGUAGUUUCAAGCAGCUGAGUUGUUCGGCAACAUCUUUGGAGACUUUCGAUUGAAAUGAACUUGUGAAAGAUUUGGUGUACCAUUUGGUAAUUAAAUUUGAAAUUUUAAUUUAGUACUCUUGUGCCUGAAAUUGAAAUUGAGAAUCACCUUUUCAUAUUUUUUAGAUCAAGGAGAAGUGAUUAUCUCUUCCUUCAAUGUUAUACAUUUUCCAAUAUGUAACAUACUUAUUCUCGAAUUCAACUAAUUAAAAAUAUAAUAUGUUUUAGUUAAUAUUUUAACCUUUUAGCAUUGUGUUUUCCAUGUAAAUGGAUAAUAUUGAUAAUUUAAGAGCAAUAGAAUAAGAACUUUUUGUUAAGGGAUAAUUUAUGAUGUUUCGUAAUUAAAAUAAUGACGACUAAAGGAGCACCUAUGAUAGACUUCAAAUAGUCUUGAUUUCCUUCAACAUAUCUUAGUUCGGAUUGAAAUUUUGGAAAGAAUCCUAACGAUUGAUUGAAGUGUUUUAUUUUAUUAUUAUUAUUUUUUUUCUUUCAUGAGAAUAUCAAGAAAAGUAGUUAGAUGAGGUGCCGAUAGCACUUUCCUCGCUUGAUGAUUUCUGAUUAUUCAUUUAGUGAGUUAGCUAUUUUAUUGAAAUUUUUUCGUUUGUUAAAACAUGGGAUUUAAUCGAAAAAAAUAAUAUUAUUUCCUACUCCUUGAGUAAUUGAAUGAGAAGAACCUCGUUACAUAAUAUGAUGUUUCAGUUGCUUUUAUUUCGUGAUUACUUAUAUCACAUUUUAAUUUGUUGAAACGUCGUAACAGGUGUGGUUGCAUCAAGAAACUUGCUCGAGUUAAUACUCCAUCUCUACUUGGAAUGAAAUUGAUUUUUUCUAUUAUUUUUCUUUACUUGCAAUUCCAGAUUUCUGGAGAUUGUGUAAUAUAAAUUCUAUGGAUUUGCAGUAUGAGAAAGCUACAUUUAUUUUGAGUAAGAACGAUCCAUCGGCUGUGUUAGCCAAAGUCGAAGCCAAUUAGGAAACAAAUAAAUUACUUGCAAAAAUUCAAAGUUUUCCCGCACUUGAAAUUUGAGACAUGGAUGCAGUGUUGUUCAAGUGAAUAAAGGAUCUCUUGAUACUUAUGGAAUUGUCACUUAUUUGAAACAACAAAGUGGUCCUGCAUACACUGAAAUGGGAUCUGCUACAGAGAUAGGGGGAGGGAACAGGGAUUAGGGACAGGUCGAGGUGCUGCAACCUCGGCCUUUGAUUUGCAUUUUUAAAAUUCAGAUCAAGGAUCGAGGUCGCGCCAUCUCGACCCUGUCCAUUUCCCCUGUCCUCUUAGCAUUUCUGUAAUCAACCAACAAAAAGAUUCUUGGGUGAAUUGGAAUGAGCACGAAGAAAUUAAUGAUCGUUGUGCUAUAUCAAUUGCUCAAGAUCUUUGGUUUCUACUAGAACUGAUGAAAAUUGAGAUAAUUUCUUUUUGGAGUAGUUGUGAAUUAUUCAAAUCUAGUUCAUUGUCAAUUAGAAAUUAAAAAAGAGGUACUCAUCAUUAUGAUGUCUUUGUCAAAGUUUCAUUUGCCACUAUUCUCCUAUCCCUCGUUUGUGUACAUUUUUUGGGGAAUGAGUUAAUUAAAUGAACGGUCAUUAAACUUAUCACUAGGUUACGACUUGCUCAUUAAACGUGGCAUAUUGAUGACGGUUAAAUUUUUAAGUUAAUUAAAUAAAUGUUCAUCAAACAUGUCAUUUUUAGAGGAUAAUCAUAAAAUAAAUGAGCGUUAAACUUAAUUAAAUAAAUGCUCAUAGAGUCCUAAAUCUGCUUUGAGGUUUCUUUGUAAAGGAUGGUCUCCAGGAUUGAUCGCUCAAUGGCUUGGAAUAGAUAAUCCUCAGCUUUAAGAUCUUUAAAUUUUGGCCUUCAUUUUAUGCCUUUUGUGCAUAUGUAACUGCUAUGCUAAUUGCAUGCUCUGGAAUUCCUUUAGAAUCAACUUGCUGGCGAUCCUUUGAUUUCAAUUAGUUCUCCAUCAACAUACUCUAGUGAUCAUAGUGACCAUCAAAAUGGGGAAUUGCAAGCUACUCAAAGUUAUCGGUUGCCAUGGAUGAUUGUUGUUGCUAUAGAGAGAAAGAUACCAGUUUUAACCAAGCUCUGAUAUCACUAGUGAAAUCUCUAUUAUUUACUUAAGGAACAAAGAUAUAUAUUUAAAUACAAAUGAGGUUGAAUUCUUGACAUCUCUUAUUCAAUGAUUAUAGUUCUUUAAAUAGGCUUACAUUCAACAUCUAGAAACAAGAAAAUAGGUAUUCUUAUUUAAUUUUAUGGAUAUAAAAACCCAUACCCUAACUAUUUAGGGCCACUGUACACUACUAUUGUAAUGACCUUUUAGAAGUUACUUUGACAAGAAAACAUGGUUUUUAUAUGUGUUAUCAUUUUUAGUCUCUCCUAUUUGACAAUAAUAUAUAUUUAAAUAAAUUUUUUCUUGAAAGUAUAAAAUGAAACCAUUAGGUUUUAUAUUGUAAUUGGCUAUUCUGUGAACAAAAGGGACUUAAUUGAACAUGUUGUAAAAGUUAGGGACUUGGGUUGCAAUUUGUAUAGAUGGUUUAGGCUAGGGUUGAGUUUGGAACAAGGCCGAAGACUCGCUGAAUUUUUGCUAGUUGCUCGCCAAGUUGUUGCUCGAGCGGUUGAUGCAUAAACAUCGUCGCUUGCUUGUCACCCCUACAUCACUCGAGCGAAGAAGCUGUUGCUCGCUUCUCGUUAGAGUGUCACUCGAGCGAUAGUGUCACAUGGCCAAACUCUAGGAAGAGUCGAGCUCACUCGCAACAUGACUAGCUAACAUAAGUCUAAGAACACUCUGGCAAACAUGAGACUCUCUCCUAGACAGUGCCCGGAUGAUCUAGACAAAGAUCCUCACAGUAAAAGUUACUGGUUUUGUUGCUCAUCGAUGCAUAGAAAAUUUUGAUAAAAAAGAGACUCUGGUCCCUUUGGAACAAGUUGCUUAUGAUUCUCCUCGAAUGAUUAGUUGAAAGUUACAUUCGCAUGACCAAGAAUCUAUACAUCGAAAAGACAAAUCUUGGGAAUUCAAAGAAACUUUCUACAGAUAUUUGGAAUCCUUAUCAUUGGGUCUAUUUUGCUGGUCCUUCCUACUAGUUGGAGAAUGUGAACAAUUGGGAUUUAUAUUCGUGUUCUUUGUGAUUUUGCCAUAUUUUUCUGAUCUCGUUUUAUUAUUUCCUCAACAGUUCGCAGUCAGUGUAGAAUCAUUUGUUUUAUAAUUAUUCGUAACCCUACAAGUACCAUUUUUUUCUGUUUGUAAUUCUUAAAUAGAAAAGAUAUACAAUUUAUAUUAUUCUCUUCUUUGUUUCUAUCUCAGUUGGCAUUUAGUUUCUAAAUUCUAACAGAGUUUUGCAGAUUGUACGUGGCUAGCAUGCUUGAUUUUGUGUAGCAGGAGACAAAAGUACGAAAUUUCAUUAUGGGAUUUGCUUUUAGAACAUAUCAUUUCAUUGCAAGAAGUUCUUGAAUUUCUGCUAAGAAUUAAUAGAUUCUGCGGAAAGAUACAAAAUUAUUGGGGACACUUCCUCAUACUAGAAGAAAAUAUAGAUUCUGUGAGAUGACAGAAAGGCAUCAUUGGAUUCUUUAUUCCUGAAUCCUGAUUUAUAUUGGUGUGGUACUAAAAUCAUUUAGUUAAAAGAAACCAGUAAGCUGGAUCGAUUCGACUAGUCCACUUGUCUCUUUUUUUCUCUACUUCCCCCUCAUGAAUGUUCGAACUUGAGGUACAUUUUGGAUCAAUAUUUUAAUAAUCAAUUUUGUUAUGUUUAAUCUUGUUAUUGUAAUAUUUCGUAAUAGAGACAAAUGGCAUCUAGUUCUUUAAGUACCACCCUACCUUACGACGAUUAGUUUUUUGAAUUUGUAAUCUCCAAUUGGAAAUCAUAUAAUAGAAUAUUGAGUUUUUCAAAAUAUGUUUGUUAAAUUUUUCGAAAGUGAAAGGGGAGAAAAAGGUCCUAAGUUGCUGAAAAUAUAUAUGACAAAGGUCCUAACAAACUAUAUAAUGUCAUGGGAUCAUGCCGCACUUACAAACUUUUUUUACAAAAUCCUUUACUCACUAUUCACAAUAGGAGGUGGGGAUCACGAGCCGACAUUUUUUAAAGUCACGUGGGGGCCACUUGUUUGUGAGAGUAAGUAACCCAUUUUGUACACAUUUGUUUGUACAUAUAUAUUUAUCAUAAUGUCGUUUGAGUUCAUGUUGUAAUUCAAGAGUGACAUGAUGAUACUAUUAAGUAAUUUACUUUAAUGACUAAUUUAAAAUUUUUAACGAACUUCAGUGACCAUUUCUUAGUAUUUACUCCAAGUACAAAAAUAUCUUUCUGUUUGAAUUUCACUACUAGGUAAAUUAACACGUCAAAGUUGAGUUAGUUGCCUCUAACUUCUAAAGAUUAUGCUAUUUGUACAUAAAAAUGGUACAUAAGAGAUUGGAUAAAAAAGCAAAUUGUUUUUUUAACUGACAUAUAAUAGAGUGAAAUGUGACUAUGUAACUUAUUAUGUGAAACUUAAUGUACAUGUAGAAAGGUCCAAAUUCUAAUGAUCGACCACAGUUACCAACUUCCGUUCUGGUAGUUUCAAGCAGCAGAGUUUUUUGGCAACAUCUUUGGAAAGUUUCAAUUGAAAUGAACUUGUGAAAGAUUUGGUGUACCAUUUGGUAAUUAAAUUUGAAAUUUUAAUUUAGUAUUCUUGUGCCUAAAAUUGAAAUUGAGAAUCACCUUUUCAUAUUUUUUAGAUCAAGGAGAAGUGAGUAUCUCUUCCUUCAAUGUUAUACAUUUUCAAAUAUGUAACAUGCUUAUUCUCGACUUCAACUAAUUAAAAACAUAAUAUCUUUUAGUUAAUAUUUUAACCUUUUAGUAUUGUGUUUUCUAUGUAAAUGGAUAAUUUUGAUCAUUUAAGAGCAAUAGAAUAAAAAAAAUUGUUAAGGGAUAAUUUAUUAUGUUUCCUAAUUAAAAUAAUCACGACUAAAGGAGCACCUAAGAUAGACCUCAAAUAGUCUUGAUUUCCUUCAACAUAUCUUAGCUCGGGUUGAAAUUUUGGAAAGAAUCAUAACGAUUGAUUGAAGUUUUUUUUCCCCUCUCAUGAGAAUAUCAAGAAAGUGGUUAGAUGAGGUGCCGAUAGCACUUUCCUCGCUUGAUGAUUUCUGAUUAUUUAUUUUGUGAGUCAGCUAUUUUGUUGAAAUUUUUUCGUUUGUUAAAACAUGGGAUUAAAUCGAAAAAAAUAAUAUUAGUUUCUACUCUGUGAGUAAAUGAAUGAGAAGAACCGUGUUAUACAAUAUGAUGUUUAAGUUGCUUUUAUUUCGUGAUUACUUAUAUGACAUUUUAAGUUGUUGAAACGUUGUAAAAGGUGUAGUUACAUUGAGAAACUUGCUCGAGUUAAUACUCAAUCUCUACUUGGAAUGAAAUGGAUUUUUUCUAUUAUUUUGCUUUACUUGCAAUUCCAGGUUUCUGGAGAUUGUGCAAUGUAAAUUCUAUGGAUUUGCAGUAUGAGAAAGCUGCAUUUGUUUUGAGUAAGAACGAUCCUUCGGCUCUGUUAGCCAAAGUCGAAGCCAAUUAAGAAACAAAUAAAUUCCUUGCAAAAAUUCAAAGUUUUCCCACACUUGAAAUUUGCCACAUGGAUGCAAUGUUGUUCAGGAGAAUAAAGGAUCUCGUGAUACUUAUGGAAUUGUCACUUAGUUGAAACAACAAAGUGGCCUUGCAUGUACUGAAAUGGGAUCUGCUACAGAGACAGGGGGAAGGGAUAGGGAUUAAGGACAAGCCCUGGUGGUGAAACCUCGGCCCUUGAUCUGCAUUUUUAAAAUUCAGAUCAAGGGUUGAGGUUGCGCCACAUCGACCCUGUCCACAAACCCUGUCCAUUCCCCCUAUCCCUUUAGCAUUUCUAUACUGAAGUUAAAUCCCAUGAAGAUGGUGCUUCUGUAAUCAAGCAACAAAAAGAUUCUUGGGUGAAUUGGAAUGAGCAUGAAGAAAUUAAUGAUCAUUGUGCUAUAUCGAUCGCUCAAGAUCUUUGGUUUCUUCUAGAACUGAUGAAAAUUGAGAUAAUUUCUUUUGGAGUAGCUGUGAAUUAUUCUAAUCUAGUUCAUGUUCGGUUAGUAAUUAAAAAAGAGGUAGUCAUCAUUAUGAUGUCUUUGUCGAAGUUUCAUUUGCCAGUAUUCUACUAUUCCUCCGUUUGUGUGCAUUUUUCGGGGAAUGAGUUAAUUAAAUGAAUGGUCAUUAAACUUAUCACUAGGUUACUACUUACUCAUUAAACGUGGCAUAUUGAUGACGGUUAAAUUGUCAAGUUAAUUAAAUAAAUGUUCAUUAAACAUGUCAUUUUUAGAGGAUAAUCAUAAAUUAAAUGAGCGUUAAACUUAAUUAAAUAAAUGCUCAUAGAGUCCUAAAUCUGCUUUGAGGUUUCUUUGUAGAGGAUGGUCUCCAGGAUUGAUUGCUCAAUGGCUUGGAACAGAUAAUUCUCAGCCUUAAGAUCUUUAAAUUUUGGCCUUCAUUUUAUGCCUUUUGUGCAUAUGUAACUGCUAUGCUAAUUGCAUGCUCUGGAAUUUCUUCAGAAUCAACUUGCUAGCAAUCCUUUGAUUUCAAUUAGUUUUUCAUCAACAUACUCCAGUGAUCAUAGUGACCAUCGAAAUGAGGAAUUGCAAGCUACUCAAAGUUAUCGGUUACCAUGGAUGAUUGCUGUUGUUAUAGAGAGAAAGAUACCAGUUUUAACCAAGCUCUGAUAUCACUAAUGAAAUCUCUAUUAUUUACUUAAGGAACAAAGAUAUAUAUUUGAAUACAAAUGAGGUUGAAUUCUUGACAUCUCUUAUUCAAUGAUUAUAGUUCUUUAAACAAGCUUACAUUCAACAUCUAGAAACAAGAAAAUAGGUAUUCAUAUCUAACUUUAGGGAUAUAAAAACCCAUACCCUAACUAUUUAGGGCCACGAUAUACUACUUCUCUUGUAAUGACUUUUUUGAUGUUACUUUGAAAAGAAAACAUGGUUUUUAUAUGUGCUAUCAUUUUUAGUCUCUCCUAUUUGAUAAUAAUUUAUAUUUAAAUAAAUUUGUUCUUGAAAAUAUAAAAUGGAACCAUUAGGUUUUAUAUUGUAAUUGGCUAUUCUAUGAACAAAAGGGACUCAAUUGAACAUGUUGUAAAAGUCAGGGACUUGGGUUUCAAUUUGUAUAGAUGGUUUAGGCUAGGGUUGAGUUUGGAACAAGGUCGAAGACUCGCUGGAUUUUUUCUAGUUGCUCGCCAAGUUGUUGCUCGAGGGGUUGAAGCAUAAACAUUGUCGCUUGCUUGUCACCCCUACAUCGCUCGAGCAAAGAAGCCGUCGCUUGCUUCUCGUUAGAGUGUCAUUCGAGUGAUAGUGUCACGUGGCCAAACUCUAGGUCGUAAUUUGAAGAGUUUUAUAUGGCCCAUGACACCUAUUUGGCCCCAACUAUAAAUAUCAGAGUCAUGGACAGAAUUUUGGGGAGGUUGCUCAUUGUGCUUCACAACAUAAACACUUUCAUAACUUCUUUGUGAUCCAAGAGCGCAAUUCAUUGGUGGAAUCAUCUGCAUUAAUCAUGUGAUUUGUCAACUAAAGUUUUGAAAAAUAUCAAAGGUUCAAUAAUCCAAAAUACCGUGUUUCCUUAAUCUUUUGAGGAAGGGAUCAUUGGGGAAUUGAGAGAGGUGGAUUGAAGUGCAGUUACAAGCACAAGAAUAGGUGAUUUUUGGUGUUCCACUUGGAGAGACAUCAGCAUAAGAAGAGACAACAAAUUAGGCUGCAUGAAGUAGAUCAGAAAGUCAAGCAGGAGGCUAGAGAUAUCCACGAUAGUAGGAGACUACAGAAGGUCUAGUAGACUAGAGGUAUCUACGGCAGUAGAUCGUGAGACUGUGAUAGCAAGUCUUAGUGGGUACAAGAAUUGGAAUUGCUGUGUGUUUCCUGAACUGUCUAUGGUAGAGGUAACUGGCUGGUUCUCGAAAUUUUUCCCAUGUUAAGUUUCUCCGUCAUCAAAUUUUCUGUGUUCUUUACUUUCCAGCAAUUUAUUACAAAUUGCGGUAUUUAAACAUCGGGUUAAUUGAAUUGUAUGCUUAAUCAUCUAAAAGCUAAUUAAAAGUGACUUGUUUGCUUUGAUUAGUACAAUUCUGCAUGUAAGAUCAAGCUAAUCGAUAAUCUGGAACGUAAACUUCGUAAUCUAAAAAGUUGAAAUAGUGUGUACUAUCCAAGACCCAAACUCAUAGAUACGACUAAGAUAAUUGUUUUGCGCCAUAAGUACAAAUACCCAAAAAAAAAAAAAUAGAGUUUACGUAUGUAUUAAUACCUUGAUAAUAAAGCAUAUAUUCUUUAGGGCAGCUUUAAUACAUCUUUUGGAAUCUUUAUUUUUGCAACUUAAACAAUAGAAAUCUAACUUUUUAACUUAAAAUUAAUCCCAAUGAUAGAUGGAAAAUAGUUUAAUAGAUGAGUGAGCAAUAUAUAACCCCUUUUUUGUUCAGUAAGCUAUGUGCAACCGGGGGAUAAAUUAAAUGAACAUUCAAUUAAUUAAUCUCGAUAAUUGAACAUCACGGUGUGAUUUUCGUAAGAUGUGAAGCAAUUUUCAUAAAGUGGGAGUAACAGAUUUCAUUCCAUUGAUGGCAACCUUUAAUACUUCUUUUUCAUAGCGUCUCAAAUCUGUUUCAAAAUUUCUUCAUAGAUUGUCCAGGAUGUUAUAUGAUUGUUCGAAAUCAAUAAAACGUAAAGUUUAUGAAAUGGAAAAUGGAAUCAAAAGCCAUAAAAUUGGCCUAUGUGACAGUAUAGGCCAAAUGGGCUUGCGGUCGCAUAGGAUUUUACAAAAAUUUCCAGCCAUGUGAGACAUUGAUCUAUGCGACCGCAUAUGAUUGUUCUAUGUGGUCGCAUAGAAGAAAGGAGCCGUUUACAUUUUGAAUUUGGUGGCUUUUCGAGGGAUUUUUACGUCACUUCGUAUGUCAAUGUUUGAAGGCUAUAUAUAUGUGAUUGAUAACUGUAAUACCCCGAACUUCACGUUCUACAUUUGGCCAAUAUGAUUCAUGCAUUUCAUGCUAAUUACAUUGUCAUUUGUAUCAAUUUCCUGAUUGCCUUCUCUUAAAAUGAUGCAUUUGAUCAUCAAGGCUUUAAAAUCUUAACAUGGUGAUAACCUUCGACUCUUCGAUCUAGGUGGUGAAUUUUAUAUUGAGCUAUGAUAGAAAGUUAGAUUAACUAAAUGUUGGAGAUUGGCUUGGUAAGUAAUGUAAUAUUUGAAAGGCCGAAAAUUUGUAUCAACGAAGGUUCAAGCUUUCCAUUCAGCUAAUCGAGGUCACCUUAAACCCUAGAUAGGUAAUUCAUAUAUUUGGGACAUGAGGGAUGAAGUGACAUUAUCACAACGUAAUAAUAUAUGUCUUAUAUGACAUUAUAAAUAUUGCGGUGCGAAUUGUUGAAAUCAGUUGAGAAUCGGGUAAGAAAUUAAAUGAACGGUUGAGGAAUUAGUUCUAUGAAAUACUUUGGGAUCUUAGGACAAGCGAAAUGGAUUGUAAACAUGUCAAAAUAAGCCGAGGAUACUUGGUUUGUGCCUGCAAAGAUACAUAUAAAAUCAGAUUUUGCUACAAGUGACCACCUCAUGCUUAAACACCUCGCGCUUGGGAUGUUUGUCAUUUUAGCACUCAAUUCCUUCAACCUUAAGCCUCCAACACGUCCUAUAAGUCCUUGGAACUUUACACAAGAUAUUUAUAACUCUUCUAAGUCACAUAUGGCUCCAUGUGGUGCAAGGGAGAAGUCAAAGUUGGCUGCAAGAAGCCACCUCCUACUUGGACAGCUCAUGCUAGGGGACUUUUCACUUUAAUAUAUAAUUGCUUCAACCUUAAGGCAUAAAUUUCGUGUCUAAUCCCCAAGGACUUAAUAUAGGAUGAAUAUAUAUCUUAAAUAUCAUAAAUGGACACAAAAAUAAUGGUAGAAAAGUCAAGCAUUGCAGCCAAGAUGAUAGCUCCAGCUUAGUGACUCACCUUGAUUGCUUGAGGUGGCUGCAGCCCAUGAUAUUCUUAAUCCUUAAGUAAUAUGCACGACUUCAACUAUUUAAAGACCACUCAUUUACCUCCUAGAUAAUAUAUUAACUCCCUAAACUCGUCCCUAAGUGAUUCCAAGUGAAAAGAGGGUGAAACAGUCAAAGAGAAAUAGAAACAAGAAGCUGUUAUUUCUGAACAGCUUUGUUACUCCACAGUUUUGAGGUUUGUUUCUAUUAUUUCUUAAGGGCUUUAUGAUUUCUUAAACAUCUGAACUUGUUUGUAAUUAAGUUGGAGUGUUGUUAAUGAUGUUAUGAUGCAUAAAUAGGGGUAAUCAAUUGCAAGAAUUUGAAAGAAAGUAAUCUGGACAGAGAUGAGGAAUUGCUGGAUUGAGUGAUUUAUACCUUGAUUUUGGGAUGAUACUCAGUGUUUAACUUAUAUAUGUCAAUAUGAACGUUUUUAUAUGUAAGUAGGGAGUGUAGAAAUGAUUUUAAUGGCCUAGAAUUCUGUUGGUAUCAUAAUAAUAAAAUGGAAACCGAAAACAGUCAAAGGGAAAAACUGCCUGAUUUUAUGUAGUGGAAAAUGGACUGUUUUUGAAGCUCCAAACACUUCAUUUGUAACAAUGUUAUGAUCUGAUUAUCUUCACAUAUAUGUNNNNNNNNNNNNNNNNNNNNNNNNNNNNNNNNNNNNNNNNNNNNNNNNNNNNNNNNNNNNNNNNNNNNNNNNNNNNNNNNNNNNNNNNNNNNNNNNNNNNNNNNNNNNNNNNNNNNNNNNNNNNNNNNNNNNNNNNNNNNNNNNNNNNNNNNNNNNNNNNNNNNNNNNNNNNNNNNNNNNNNNNNNNNNNNNNNNNNNNNNNNNNNCAUUUGCAACUACGAUGCAAGAACCUAGCAUUUGUGGUAUAGUGAUGUUAGGAUAUUUUCAUACUUUGAUAAGAAAGCUCGUUGUACCCUAUAUGAUGAUUAUGAUCAUUGAGUAUGCGGUUGCAAAAUACAUUGACAACAACUUCCAUUAAGCAUGUCAUUCAUGAGCAUUUUCAUAUGCAUGCACGACAUGUGACAUGGUUGAAAAUCCUGCAUGCAAAAUAUGAUUUCAAAGUGAGUUUCAUUAUAAAUGUUUUAUUGACCACUACUAGGGCACCGAGGCAUGUGAGGCAUGCUUAUGUGAUAUGUUUGGCAUUGCGAGUAUUACUUCCUGGGUGAUUGCAAAGGUAGAUAGGGGAUGGGCCUUUGGUGAUCACGGGAGGGCGAACCACUCGACUAUGCCCUUGUUAUGAUUAUUGGCGCUGUCGGGUGGGAGACUUCUUGGGUGAUCAUAGGGGUAGUUAGGGGAUGGGCCUCUAGUGGUCACGAGAGGAUGGUCCACUCGCCGGUGUCGAUUUCAUAUUGGCCAUUUGAUUAUUGAUAUUGAUAUUAUGCAGAGCUCUAUCCGGUGCAUAGUAGGUGGGUCAAGGGCCCAAUGAAAUGAAAGAUUUCAAGUGAAAUGAUUUCUAGUCGACUUUGACAAAUAUUGAAAUAUGAUACUUUUUAUCGUGAUAUUUAAAGUAAAUGACAUGGUGUCAUAUGUUGUUAUUACUCAUGUUCAGGACAUGCAUGAUUUUGCUUACUAAGCAUUAGCUUAUGUAGUUCUUGCAUUGUAGGUGAACAUGGAACUACAUAGAGAGCAUGGCUAGCUGUGGAGCUCCUACAGGAUUUCAGAGUUCAAUGUACAUGGAUGACUACCUGUAGGGUUAUUUUGUAGGCUGCCAUCUGUUGGGUUAUAUUUUGGAAUCCUAUAUAGUGUACUUUUGAAAUGGCCUGUAGAUAUGUUUAUAAGCUGAAUAUAUAUGUUAGAUUAUGGCGAUAUGAUUUUGGGUUUCGAUAUAUUAUAUGAUCGUGUCACAGGUAAUUAGAAGUUAACAAACUCAAAAAAAAAAUAUGUAAAAUUCUAUGUCUAGGUUGUGUAUAGAUUUGGGGGUGUGACAAUAACUAAUAAAAGACAUUGAAAAACAUAUAGCCACCGUCGAGACCAAAAUUAUUCAUAUUGAAAUUCAUUUCUUACUUCAUAUUUAAAUCCAAUUUUUAUGUUCUUAAGUUUUGAAAGAUUUCACUUUUGCUUGGUGUUAAUAUUCUACAAGGCUUGUUAAAAUCCUACAAGUCAUUUGCCAAAAUUUCUUGAAGUAUCUCAUUCAUCCUAGAGGGGACAAAUAUUGUUUGAGGACUAAGAUAUCGUGUUUGGGCCUUCAUCUUUAUAUUUUGUUCCUAAUUUUUUAUUCCUUAUUUCUUCUCCAUUUCUCUCUUAUGAAAGAUAUAAUUUCCAACAAUCUCAAACGAUAAUUCUGCAAUGGAGAGUGAAAUGACUAUGGUGACAAUCAAAUUAACAAACCAAGGUCUCAUGCUCCCGGAUUGCUUCAAUGGCACAAACUUCACGAGAUGGCAAGAUAAACCGAAAUUUCUCUUUAUGGCAUUGAAAAUUUUCUACAUACUUAAUCCGAAUUUAGCGCCAUUACCGGAACCAACAAAAGGUGAAAUGAAGGCCAUCAAAGUCGAAAGACAAAAGCGCCAAGAAGAUAAAUUCACUUGCUACGGUCACAUACUCAAUACAUUGUUGGACAGUUUAUAUGACAUACACAAACACAUCUUCAACGAAAGAAAUAUGGAACGCCUUGGAGAGUAAGUACAAAGCGGAAGAUAAGGUAUCAAGAAAUUUUUAAUUUCUAAGUACUUUGAUUUUAGAUUUUUUGAGAAUAUUUCCCUACUUUCCCAAAUACAUGAAAUGCAAGUGAUUGUCAACAAGUUGAGAAGGUAAAGAUUGAAAUCCCGAUGACCUUUCAAGUGGGGGCAAUUAUUGCAAAGCUUCCCGAGAUUUGAAAAGAGUACCAGAAGAAAAUAAUGCAUAGUUCUGAAAAAAUUUUCUUUGGAACAAUUGUAGAAAUAUUUUCGCAUUGAGGAAGAAUUGAGAACGUGAGAUAUAAAUAAAUAUUCUUAUGAAGGCACUUCCAAAGCCAAUGCAGUGGAGAAAAAUGAACCACCGACAAAAUCUAACAAGAGAAAGCCUUCUAGGAACUUCAAUAAGUCCAAGACAAAGACCAAAGGAAAAUGUUUCAUGUGUGAAAAAUCUGGACAUUAUGCAUAGGAUUGUAGAUACUGAAAAAGAAACAACUCUGAGGGUAAGGUGAAUUCCAUCCAAAAAAAAAAGAUUGUGGUCAUCGUAAGUGAAAUAAAUGCAAUCAAAGAAAAUGUUCCCGAAUUGUAGUAUGAUACUUGUACAACAAUGCUUGUAUCAUAUGACAAGUCUUUAUUCAAGACAUAUUAUGAGGUAGAUGGAGACCAAGAGAUCUAAAUGGGUAACGAAGUCCAAUCUAAAGUAAUUGAAAAAGGAAACGUGGAUAUCAUCUUCACUUCUGGCAAAAUCGUUACUUUAACCAAUUUUUUACAUGUCCUAUAUAUGAAUAGGAAUUUGGUUAGUGGAAAUCUCUUAGAAAAAUUGGGCAUCAAAAGUGUUUAUAAGUACAUAUAAACUUGUAUUAUCCCUAAACGAAAAAUUUGUUGGAAAAUGCUUUUCUUGUGAAUGAAUGAUCAAGCUAUGCACUGUUGACAAAUUAAAUAAUAAUAAAGUUGAUUUUGUUUAUAUUGUUGACUCAUUUUCAUCAUGGCAUGCUAGGUUAGGUCAUACUGGUAAAAGUACUAUGAAAAGAAUGAUGAAAUGUGACUUGAUUUUAUAUAAUGAAAAUUAUGCCUUUAAGUGUAAAACAUGUGUUGAAUCUAAAAUGAUUAGAAAGCAAUAUUAAAGUGUAAAAAGAACUUCUAGCAUUAUAGAAUUAAUUCAUACAGACAUGUGUGAAUUAAAUGGCAUAUUAACUAGAGGUGAUAAUAGGUAUUUCAUUACCUUUAUAGAUGACUUCACUAGGUAAACAUUUAUGUAUUUGACGAAAUAUAAACAUGAGACAUUUAACAUGUUUAAGAUAUAUAAAAGUGAAGUUGAAAAUCACCUAAGUAAGAAAAUAAAAACACUAGAGGUGGCGAAUACUUCUCUAGUGAUUUUAAAAUGUUUUGUGAACAACACGGUAUUAUUUACCAAUCUUCUGCACCUAGGACUCUUGAAGGAAAAAAUAAAACCUCGGUAGAAAUGAUAAAUGUUAUAUUAACUUAUGCUAAGCUACUAUUUAAUUUGUAGGGUGACGCUUUAUUGAGUUCAUAUAGUAUACUAAAUAGGAUUCUUUCAAAAUUUACAAAGGUUUCACCUUAGGAAUUAUAGAAAAGAAUAAAACUUAACAUUGGACACUUCAAAGUGUGGGAGUAUCUCGCUUAUUGCAAGAACACGAACCCUAAUAGAACUAAAUUAGAUCAAAGAGGCAUCAAAUGUGUCUUUGUUAGAUAUGAUAGCAAUAGCAAAUCAUACAGAUUGUUGAAUUUGGAGACCAAUGUGAUUAAUGAAUCUAGUAACGUAGAGUUUUUUGAGAAGUCGCUAGCUUUGGAUAAUGAAUUGAGGGAGAAUCAUAAAGAUAUCCUUGGAUCAAGUGAAACACAAGAUGAGACAUCUUCUCAAGAUGUUGAUAAGUCUAUUGAGCCAUGAAUAAGCAAGAGAACUCGGACUGAGAAGUUUUUGGGACCAGACAAAGUUGACUCUUAAUUUAUUUCCUUUUACAUAGUAGAAAAAAAUGAGAUGAAUGCUGUAAGAACAAUUCCUUUUGUUCUAUAGGUGGAAACUGAUCCUAAAACUUAUAAAGAAAUUAUGGCUUCACAUGACAGCUUCUUUUGGAAAAAUGCUAUUAAAGAUAAAAUGAAUUCAAUAAUGUCAAACAAUACAUGGGAAUUUGUUGAUUUCUCACCCGGAUCUAAACCUAUUGGCUAUAAAUGCGUAUUUAGGAUGAAUUAUAACGUUGAUAAUUCUCUUAAUACCUUUAAGGCUAUAUUAGUAGCCAGGGUGGCAAUCGACUCCGCCUAUCUAUGCACGAGCUCAGCUCGUCAAGUUCAAGCUCGUUAAAGCAUGAGCCAAGCUCAAGCUAGGCUCGUGCUCAAAGUCGAGCUCAUGAGCUCAAAUCUUUUCUUAAUAUUUGUUUUAUUUUUUUCUUCCAUUUUUUUCACAAGCCCACGAGCUCAGCUCGUGAACCUACGAGCCAUUCGCCUGUAGAUGAGCCAAGCGAGUUCAGCUAGUCUAGUCAAUAGGCCCGCUCGGCUUGUGCUCGAGCUCGUAUUUGCUCGAGCCGCCCACGAGCUACAUUGUUAUGAGUCGAGCGACUAAACCGACGAGCUGCUCUGCUCGAUUGCCACCCCUAUUAGAAGCCAAAGGGUAUUGACAAAAGGAAAGAAUUGACUGUUUUGACACUUAUGCACCGGUAACUCGAAUAACAUCAAUCAGGAUAUUAUUCGCAUUAGCUUCUAUAUAUGACUUGCAUGUUCAUCAAAUAGAUGUCAAAAUAGCAUUCUCGAAUGGGGAUCUCGAUGAGGAAGUUUAUAUGGAACAACCUGAACGGAUUGCUCUACCCGAAAAUGAACACAAUAUGUGCAAGUCGGUAAAAUCACUAUACGGUUUGAAAUAGGCACCUAAAAAAUGGCAUGAGAAAUUUGGCUUAUCUAUAAUAUCAUUUAGUUUUAAACGUAAUACCGUAAAUAAAUGUUUGUAUUUUAAAGCAUGUGAUAAUUAUGUGAUAUUUAUAUGCUAUAUAUUAAUGACAUGUUGAUUAUGAGUAAUCACAUGGAUAGAAUUAAAGAAACGAAGAAUUUUUUUAUCUUCCACAUUCAAAAUUAAGGAUCUUGACAGGAGGAUACCAUAUUGGGUAUCAAAGUCACUAAGAUUAGUGGGGGUUAUCAUCUAAAUCAAUCACAUCAGAUCGAGAAUUUUAUAAAAAAAGUUCAAACAUUUAAAAAUAAAGUAAAAUAUAGUAUCCCAGUUCAUCGAAGUUCAAAGCUUGUAAAGAAUAACGGAAAGGCAAUUGCUGAAUUGGAAUAUUCAAGUGUUAUUGGGAAUCUUUUGUAUGGAGUUCAAUACACAAGACUGAACAUAGCUUUUGCAAUUAGUAAAUUUAGUAGGUUUACUAGUAAUUCGAGCAAUGAUCAUUGGAAUGUCAUUGGAAGAGUUCUUGGAUGUCUAAUGAAAAUCAAGACGAGUUGAGCCCAAGCUCAUGAGCUCGCUCUUUUUUUUUUAAGAAAAAUAGAUAAAAUAUAAACUUGUAUUUUUUUAACGUGUACAAUUUUUUGAAGAAAAUUAAAAAUAUUAUUAUAAAAUUACAAGAUGUGAUUAAUAUAAUUUAGUCAAAUAUCACUUACUAAUCAAUUGAUGUCAUGUGUGUUGACUUCACAUUUUGAUUAUAACAAACAUAUCGCUUAUAUCGCUAAUAAUUGCAUUUGAGUGAUUAUAGAAAUUAUGGCAAAGUUUGAUCAAUUGAAGAUGAAAAGUUUACCAUUGAAACACUCGAAAAGAUGAGCAAAUGCAAGCCAAGAUAAAAGCCGAGUGUACACAUGAAAUUAUUCAAGACUUACACUUCAUCAAGUUCCGACAUUAAAGACAUUAGAUUUAGACUUCUUGUAUUCAAGUGUAAAGGUAAAACACUUUAAUAACUGGAGAUAUUGUGUAAAGCUUAAAGUAUAUCUUUAAACGAUGUUUGGAAUAUUUUUGCACACAAAAUUAUUUUUCAAAGAUACAAACUUUAUUACAUAUUUGGAAAUGUCAAAAACCUUGAAAAUGAGUUUUUUAAAAAAUAUUCCUAAAGAGGUCAUGGUAUUUCCAAACGAUCAAAGAUAAUUUUUUGUGAAAAAACGGUCGUAUCGGACGCGUUCGAUAGAGUCGAUUUUUCUAACGGUCCAAAUAGUGACCGUUCUGAUUUCUAACCAAAAAACGAUUAGUUGACGCUCGGUAAGUAUCGGACGUCCGGUAGGGGUUGUCUAGUAGGACAGAAAUUUGACGAUUUUACUUCUAUAAAUACCUUAUCAGUUUGCGUUCAAUACAGAACUUCCAAAAACAUUAAAAGUGAGAUCUUCUUGAGCUUGAAUAUUUGUUACAUAUCUUUAUCAAUCCAUUCAUACUUAAAAAAACAUUUGAUUGAUUCAACCUUUGAAAAUUAUUUUCUCAAAGUUUUUUAUAUCUAACACUUAAGCUUCAUUCAUUGCCAUCCAUUAAAGUGUUAGUCUAUUUUUCUCUCAUUAGACUCAACUUUGAUAUAUUAUUUAUUGAGAGAAAAGUUUCAAUUUGUAAAUUUAAACUUGUGGGUCGUGUUGAAGUCCUGUAAAGAUCGACAUUGUAAAAGGAUCGGUGAUCCUUGCUUGUAAGUCACCGAAAGCUUUGUAAAAGGGUUAGAUUGCACCAUAAGUCAAUCAAUAUAAUGAAAAAGGCCUUGCUCGUGACGGAGAGCUUAGUAACGGAAGAGUAGAUUGGUUGAGUUGGAUUGAACCUCCUAUUAAAUCGUUUGCACUCUCUAUCCCUUUUACUUAUUUGCUUUACAUUACUUUCAUUAUUCAGUUUCGUAUUUGUGCAAUAGAAUUAAAUUUUGAAAAAGUUUUAAAAAUCAAUUCACCCCCCUCUUGAUUAGUCAAUCUUGGGCUUUCAAUGUGGGCAGUGGGCUCAGGGCUGUGACAUACGAUAAAUUGGAAACUAAAAAAUGUUUUAGAUAUGGUAUCUAAAACACUUUUCAACUCCUCAUUUAUGGUAUGCCACAUAGACUUGAUAAUUUUGGAAGAGCACAUCUAGAGACUAGAGAGACUGAGAGAGUUGUUGAAUUCAAUGAAUUGUCAGUUGCAUGAAAAAAAUGGAUUAUGUUUAGGGUAUUUAUAGAGUGAGAAAGGAAAAAAAGCAAUACCCAUGUGCCAAGCUCGGCUUGUGGCUCAUUAUUUUUUUAAAAAUUUUUAAAAUAGAUAAAAUAUAAACCCUCAUCUUUUAUUCAGAUUUGAGACAAUCUACUUAAAUUUUGAGUGGGCAGAAUUAAAAAUUGUACACGAACAAAUUGUAAUGUGUACAAAUUUUUAAAGGAAAUUCAAAAGAGUAUUAUGAAAUAACAAAUUUUGAUUAAACUGGUGUAAUUAAAUAUCACUGAUUUGACGACAUGCAAUUUCAACAUAUUUAUCGUGAAGUUGGAAAUAAGCGUCCCACCAAUCCUUAACGCACAUUUAUGCUUCUAAAAUAUCUUCUUUCAGCCUGCACCUGACCUCAAACAAAAUCCUGUUACCUGCACUAAAAGCAAAUUUCCAAGCAACAAUGCUAACCGAAAGUAUCAGCAGAUCUUUCGUAAUUGCAGAAACAAUUGGUCAUCGUCAUUCAUACCUUUGCCAGAAUUCAAUUACUUCUUCUGAACCUUUUUAAAUUAUUUUAUUUGUUCGCAUAUUAUGAUUAAAAUAAUCAAUUAAUUCAACAAGGAAUACAGUUGGACUUGCAUCCGAUAUUUGAUAAGAUACAGAUGUAGAUGACAUAGCACUAGAUGAACCUAUUGCAGUUGCAUCAUAUCUAUAUGUAUUAAUGCCUUUACAUAAAUUUAAUAUUUCUACAUUAUCUUCUUCAGUAUCAACGAAAAGAGUAGGUGGAGAGUGCACCCGACUAACAUUUGUACCCAUUCGUUCCGCAUAUAAUUCAUACAUUUCACAUAAUAUUUCCUCUAAAUUCUUGUAGGUGGUAGGUGUACUAAAAGUUAAAGCUUUUGAAAUUUGAUCGAUUACAUAUUUAGUUCCCGGUAAAUUAUAUCGAAAGUCCAUUACGCAUGCUAAAGGAAAUAAUAUAUGCAAAUCUUCCCAAUAUUUUCUAAAUUUUAAUUCCAUAGCAUAUAUAAUUGCACUGAAAUCAGAGUCAUUUUUAUAUUUAUGAAAUGUUCUUGCAAUUAUAUAGAAGCGUUCAAGCACCAUACAACUAGUAGGACAGUGAACGCCAGAUAAAAUAUUUGUGGAAUCAUAAAAAGAUGUCAAAAAGUCAUAGUUAAAACCCAAUCAAAUUCAUUCAACAUAGAGUCGUUAUCAUUUUUAAUCUGCAUAUUGUUAUAAAAGUCAGUUAUUAAAUGUUCAAAACCUUCGCAUGACUUUAAUAAUAAGUAAGUCGAAUUCCAUCUAUGGCCUACGUCGCUACCAAAUGAUCUAGCAUUCGCCCAAUUUCGACACAAUAAUCCUCAAAUACCUGUUUUCGACUACGGGAGGUCGUGAUAUAUAUUAGUGCAUUCUUAAUCCUUUGAAAUUCAUCCUUUAUAUGUUUUAAAUCAUCUUACCCAAUUAAAUUCAAAAUAUGGUAUAUACAACGAAUAUAAAACAAAUACUAACUGAAAUCAAGUUGCAGUACCCUCACACAAUUUAUCUACAACAAUUUUAUUAACAUUAGUAUUAUCGAAAGUAAAAGAAAGAAUUUUAUUCUCGCAACGAUAUUCUCUAAUAAUACUUAUAAUAGCAUUAUAUAUAUUAUUAGCGUUGUUAGGAAACUCAAUAAUUCUAAAAGCAAUAAUUUUCUUAUACAUACACUGAAGUGGGUCUAUUUAGUGUGCAAUUGCAGCUAUAUACACCCUUUUAUUAAUCACUUCCCAUACGUUCGAAGUUAAAGAUAUAAGUCCCCAUAUUUUUGUAAAUUCAUAAUUAAUUGUUGUUUUGAAUCAACAAAAUAUUAUAUUGUUUCUGAACUAAAGUGUUUCAACUUACUCCAACAUACGUUGGUUGUAACAUAUUUUCACGUACGAGACGAAGUGUUAGUUAUCUACUAUUACUAGAGGCAAAUCAGCACCGGCAACAAGUUUCACCAUUUCAGUUCGAGCUUUCUCCUCCGAUAGACCAACGUGGACAGGGGCAAAGUCGUAGAACUGGCGCCUAGACUAUCAAAUUGCAAUUGUGUUUGACCGGUUGGAAGAAGUCCAUGUUUCGUCGAACUUGCUUUGUAGUGGCGGUAAAGGUGGGUGAUAUCAAUUCCUUUUUGCCAUGCCAAUAUUUCUUGGCAGUAUUUACAUUCCGCUUUAAAUUCGGCAACUCCAUUGACGAAUUUUUCCAUUGAAAUCAACUUGAAGUGAUUUCAACACUUUGCUUUUCCCCCCCCCCCCCUUUCACUUUCCCCUCGCAUCCGGAAUGUUUAAUUUAGCUUUUUCUUCCUCUUUAUGUUUUGUUUCGGGAACGUCAUCAUCAUCCAAAUCAAUUGGAUCAUUGCUUCCAUGAAUUCCCAAAUCUAGAAUAUUUCAGGUAUAGUUACGUUAUUUAGACCAAAAAAUUCAUUCUAAAAUUGACUUUUUGAUGUUAUAGGCGAUUCGCCUCCUAUACCGAACAAGCUCUCAACAAAUAAGUGUGGAUCUAUUUAUUUGUGAUGAAAUCAAAAUGUAGUAACUAGUAAGUAUGAAUGUAAAACUGUAAAUGUAUAAAUGUAACAAAAAUAAAUGUAGACUUGAGAGUUGAGAGAGAGAUUAUGUAAAUGUAAUUGAGAGUUAAGACUUGAGAAAGACUAUUUGUUGUAAAGAUGAAAAUAGGGAUGCAUGGGUAUUUAUAGGGAAAAAAUUGGGAAAAAGAAAUUAUGUGGCCGUUUUGGCCACUAUUAGUGAACUAUGGUACAGCGACCGAAUACGGUCAGUUUUUGCUGUACCGAAUACGGUCAGUUUUAAAAAAUUGACCGUAUUCGUUCGCUAUUCCUACACAGGCUACAAGCCAAGCUCAUUUCGUGGGCUCGCAAACGAGCGUUCGUCCAUUUGGCGAAACGCGCGGUCAAGCUCGACUUAGGCCCUCUUUAUUUUACGAGCCCGACUUCAAUGAGCAGAGUGGCUCUCAAUUGCCAGCCUCACUUAAAGUUGGGUGUUUACUCUUGGAAGAGGUGUUGUUUCUGGAAAUCAAAGAAAUAGACGUGCACAACACACUCGACUGUGAAAUUUGAAUUUGUAGCACUAUCGAAAAUCGGGAAAGAAAUUGAGUGGCUUAAGGGUCUCCUUUAUGAGAUACCUUUGGGACCGAAUAAUACAUCUUCAAUACCUAUCAUGUGUGAUAGUCAAACUAGGUUGGUAAAAGUAUACAAUGGAAAGUCUAGACAUAUGAAUUUUAGACAUGGCUACAUAAGAAAAUUAAUCAAUGAUGGAAUAAUUUUCCUAAUUUAUAUGAAGUCAAUCAAGAAUUUAGCAAAUCCUUUAAUUAAACUUCUAAAUAGAGAUUUAGUAGUGCCUACUUCGAGUAGGAUGGGGUUGAAACCCCCUAAACUAAAAGGUCCACCAAUGAUAGCAACUCUACUUGUUAUUACUCAAAAAGUAAUCCACAAAUUCAAAGGGUAAUAAAAAGUCAUUUGAUAUGUAGAUAGUUUCAGUAUUAUUAAAAUCCGCAAUAACCCUAUCCUAAUAAGUAAUACUGGUUGUUACUGAAGUGAAAGAUGAGCUUUAAGGUUUUAUUGAAGUUCAGCAAUAAGUACAAGUAUUUCUAAAAGUAACAAGGAUAUCGAAAGAACUUCACCUAGAUAAAUUUCAAGAUAGUGCUGGCUCAAUAUCUACAAUGUUUGUUAAAAUCCUACAAAUCAUUUACCAAAAUCCCUUGAAGCAUCUCAUUCUAUUCGAGAUGGGACAAAUAUCGAUUUAAGACCAAGAUAUCGUGUUCGUGCCUUCAUCUUGAUAUUCUGUUCCCGAUUUUUUAUUCCUUGUUUAUUCUCCAUUUCUCUCUUGUGAAAGAUAUAAUUUCCAACACAAGAUUGAUAGCUCAAUGGCUUGGAACAAAUAGUUCUUAGCCUUAAAAUGUUUCUAAUGUUGGCCUUCAUUUUUUCCCUUUGUGCCAAGACCAUGUUUUGAUAUCCCUUUAGAAACAACUUGCUAAUAAUUUUAAGUUUACGUGAAUCCAUCAACGUUUUAGUUUUAGGCAAACUAAACUAUUUUGAAGCACUUUGAUUUAAAUUUCAAUUUUUACUAACUACUCUACACUGUCAAAUCAUUUACCAAAAAAAUUGUGAAAAAAAAAUUAAAUAAAUUAAAAUUUAUCCAACUCAUUUAAAAUUAAACACGUUCCAAUUAAAAAGGCACAUUCAUAGACCAUAGUAGACCCAAACCAAUUAAAUCUAGUACCCAACCUAGAGGCGUCAAUUUGGCAUGUCGAAUCGAGCAGCCUGUGUUCGACUUGAAAAAAGCCCAAGUCUCCUGCCACUCUUAAGGCUCCCAAGUGCCAACCCGUCUGGCUCGACAAGUCAAAUUGGCCAUUGUUGGCUAGUGACGAACUGAGCCUUUAUAUAAAAUAAAUAAAUUACUGUAGCAACAUAGCAGGCAGCUACAUGGGCUUCCUCGAUACACAGGCGCUAAAAAAAAUUCCUGCUACACAAGUUGCCUGUGUUCCAGGUAGCUACACGAGCUGCCUUUGUAUAUAUUUAAAAAAAAAAAAAGUGAGUUGGCUUGACUCGGUUCGAUAAGACCCGAUCCAAAAGCUCUAGUCGAACCUAAAUUUUUUGGUCGACCAAACCUCGACUCGACUGGGGCAAAAAAAAAAGACCAACAGUUUUUCUCAAGCUGAGAUCCUUAGCCUUAAGUUUUGGCUAACAAGCCGACUCUACUCAACUCGUUAACAUCUAUAAUCCAACCCAAAUAAAUCAAAUAUUUGAUUAGACAAUUACCUGCCCCUCGAGGUAUAUUCAAGUGGUGCAAAGGACAAGGGUGAAAUAUACUCAAUCUUACUGGUAGUCGCAAUGUGAGGAUUCGAUUCCUGAAACAUGAAUUGGGAUUUUUUGUGGACACCAGUGUACAGACAACUCUUAUUCUUUGACUUACUGGGACACAUCCCAAUAAUCCAACCCAGUGUACAAACAACUCUUAUUCUCUGACUUACUGGGACACAUCCCGCUAUUAAUCUCUUACGAUGCUCUAGAGACGGGACACUAAGAGACGUUUAAUAUUGGGAUUUAACCUUUUUUUUUAUUAGACAAUUACCUUCCUAAGUAAUUAAUAAACAAUCAUAAACGUCCCUCAAGGCAUAACCCAGUGGUGCAAAGGAUAGGAGUAAGGUUACCUUAAAGCCUUACUGACAGUCGCAGUGUGGGAGGGUUCGAUUCCUGAAACAUGAAAUUGAACUCCUUGUAAGCACAACGUACAGGUAGCUUUUAUUUCCUAACCUGUUGGGACACAUUCUUCGAGACAGUGAGGACAUGAGGUUCAAUCUUUUUUUUUUUUUUUAUAAUAAUCAUAAACAAUGACCAUCAAGAUCGCUGAACGAUGGUUGUCAAAUCAUAUUCACCAGCCAUCUGCCCAUCCAUCACAACUUAGUAAACAAUUCAAUUUGUAAAAUUUGCAAUAAUAUCUUCAACGUAAAUUUUGAAUUAUGUACAUUUGAAGGCAUUUACGAUUGAACAUACAUUAAUUGAAUUAAUAUAGUUUUACUACAGAUGUUAAAAAAAUUAAUUAUGACACUAAACACGCCAAAUAAUCGAAAUUUAUUUCAUAAUUUAAAUUUGAACCCUCAGUUUCAACUAACAUAAAAUUCUGAAUCGGAAACCAUGUCCAAGCCUAUUUAAGGUCUCCCCCAAGAGAUUUCGAAACCAUGUCCAAGCCUAUUUCGAGUCUACCCCAACGAAGCUAGUUCGGUUGUUGUAUCCAUUAUGAUGCUGACAUUUCUUUAUAUUGUUUGGAUUCUUUAAUUCAAUUUUAUUUUCACAAUACAAUUACGUAAAAAAGGAGAACUCAUAAACAGAGAUCCAAAUUAAUAAAUAUUGUAAAAAUCACAAUUUACUCCACUCAUAAUUCUGUAAAUACAGAUUCAUGCAUAGUGAAAGUAACAAACGAGAACCAGCGGUCAAAAACGAUAGUAACACCAAACAUAGAACCCAACAUACGAUCAAAAUCACGAACAAAACAAGCAAAUGACUAAACCAUCACGAAACCCUAAAUUUAAUUCCUCCAGCUGCCAUCGGAAUCACCACCUCUGUUAUACCCACGGUCACCACCAUAUCCCCGGCCGCCGCCGCCGCCGUACCCACGGUCACGGCUUCCACCGUAUCCACCACCAUAUCCACCUCCGUUGCCACCUCCGUAGCCACUAUCGCGACGGCCUCCACCGUAUCCGCCGCCACCCUCACGACGACCACCGCGGAAUCCACCGCCUCCUCCGCCGCCGCCGCCGCCACUGCCGCGAGAUUGAGCCUCGUUGACAGUAAUACUCCUUCCAUCAAGAUCCUGACCAUUCAUUCCUUCAAUUGCGUCCCUCAUCGAUUGCUCGUCCUUGAAGGUUACGAAUCCAAACCCCCUCGAUCUUCCAGUCUCGCGGUCAUUAAUAAUCUAAAUCAAAAAAAUUCAAAAGAAAACAUCAGAUCUAAACAGAUCUAUCAAAUAUACAAUAAAAAAAACUGAAAGGCGAUUCGAUCCUCAUCUCCUGGUAACAAAGGUAGAUGGAACGUAC